AUAUACCCAUCUGCAGGUUACGCUUCGUCUAGCCUGGGCUGUGUUUCUGCUGCUUCUUCCUUAGCAAGUCAAUUCAUCAUCGUCCUUGGGGAGCCAACUCUGAAAUGUUUCCCAGUCAAUUUAUCUGAUAAGAACAUGUAGCUAUCUUGCAGAGCUGCAGUUUACCGGGGCCUAUUUACCUCGCAUGAGUGAACCUCUGCAGCGUUUUAAGCACACCCAUAAAAUGCUGGAGUCAUCAAGCAGGUGUAUAGCGGUCCUUCUCCAGUGAGUCGUCACACCUGCGAAAUUCGACCAAACAUUCAGUUAAUAGCUAAUUAUGUCCCUCUUCUGGUACUCAGAGCAGACAUGAAUAAUCUCUUCUUACCUUUGCAGUGCAAGUUUUCAAUAAUAACUUAAAUUGUACAUGACCUGCAAUGCAUUAUUACCUUGAGACUGCUACUACUGCCUAUGAUCUCAACUGGCUCCACACGUGCACUGAUAUGCUAUGCCGGCUAUUCUUCUGAAGAUCCUAUACACCAUUAAAUUUCGUAAUAAUGCAUUGCAGGUCCACCCCCAUGUGCUUAAUCCCCAUCUUGUUUUCUGCUUCUCCUCUCUCACAUCUAAUAUGGCAGGAGAAAAAGUAGUUGAAGUGUAUAUAACUGAUAUUGGUGUGGACACCCCUAAUGAUGGUUCCUGCAGCUAAUUUGCGUGUAAUGGCUCCGCCUGAAAUUAGAACCAAGAGGGAGCCCAGUUAUACUUCAGUUCAGAAAUAUGUUGUUCCUUCUUUGCAUCAAAGAAACAUGAUGAGAAAUCUCAAUCAGAAAGGCAUUUUCGGUGCACCCCCAUGUGAUUAAUCCCCAUCUUAUUUUCUGCUUCUCCUCUCACAUCUACUUUGGUUCAACUAAAUUAUCUAUUCUAUCUAAUUUCUGGUUGCUAGAUAGAUCAAAUUCUCCACCAAAAAUCAUAGUUUUAAAUAGCCCGCUAUAGCCCCGCUAUAGCCUUUUCAGCAAGGUGCCGCUAAAUGGUAUCAUGUACAAAUAUGCCGCUAUAGCUGAUUUAGAGGCUCGCCGCUAUUUGCCGUAGCCCGCUAUUUAAAACAUUGCCAAAAAUCCCCAAAUAUUGCUGUUAUUAGUGUGUAGCGAAGGAUCAGGGCCAAUCAGCACACGUUAUGUCUUAUCAGAUAUAGUACAGCAGGAGUAAAUUAAGUUCCAGUUUAGAUGUACUUACCAGAUUUAAGUAGAGGAAGGAAGACCACAGACACAAGGCCCUUGUGUCAUGCAUCUGUUUGAAUGGGAGCUCUACAAGGCUAGAAGAAUGUACAAGGGAAGAACUCUACAUGGUGGAUGUGAACAAACACAGAGUUAUUAAGCAGGAUUAUAUUGCAGGAAAUAGCAAAGUGGAAAAACACAAGAAAUGAUGUUUGUGUUACCUUGGAUCAGAUUAUUUCGACUCCUGGGAUGGUUCCCUCCAACCCCCUGCACUGCUGUUUUAGCACCUCGCUGCAGUUGUAGAUUCCUAAUCUCUUGAGGCUGGUAAGGUUACGCAGCCCUGCAGGGAGUUGUUGAAGGUCCUUGAAAUACAAAAACUUUAGCUCCUGGAUGGAGGAGAGGAGCUGAAGGGCGUCCUCUUGCUCCUUGCUGAACCGCUCCAUCCCUUCAAGCCAAUACCCAUUAAGUGCCAGCUUGGUGAGGGAGGAAGAGAGGAAUCUGCAGACGGGUGCAGCAAGAAGUCCUGCUAUGUCAUCUGUCCCGAGCUCACGCAGUGUGGAUAAAACAAGCUGUGUCUGCUGCUCUUCACCUCCCUCAGCAACCUCCAAAGCCUGUCUGGGAUUGGGAUCCCAACCAGCAAAGAAUCUAUGGCUACCCCUGACUGUUAAUUCUUUGAGCUGGCCCCCGGUGGUAAGGAGAGACCACAAGCCCUGACAUUUCAGAUCCUCUCCACAAUUAUCCAAUUCUAAGCUGGUGAGAGAGGAGAGGUUUGAGAGGGGCUCCAGGGAGAAGGAGAAGGUGGAUAGGAGCUUCGGGCAGUUCUGUAUUCUUAAUCUCUGGAGGGAUCGCAAGGCUUGGAGCCCUCCUCCACCAGGAACAAGAGUUGGCAGAUUCACCAGGACCAGCUCUUCGCACCAAUAGAACUCCAAUUCCAGUAGUGAGUCACUGAGAUGAGGUGGGAAGAGCAGCACCCCAUCAUCCUCUUCCUCUGCUGCUGUUGUUAUUUCACCUCCCACCAUCUCUGAUGCUUCUAAUGUUUUUUGUUGCACAUCCACCCCCACUACCAGCUUUUUUAUGUUUUGGCAUUUCCAUAUUUCCAAUUCAGAGAGCCUUGGGAGGUGGGGGAGGAGCUCUGUCAGUUCGUCGCCAGUAUUACCAUUCAAGCCUUCGAUCCAGAUAUCCUCAACAGGGAGCUGCCAUUCCACAUCACCCUGACCUCCUCCUAGUGGCCCAACCAGACAAUCUGAAUCAACUACAAUCAGUUUCUUCAGCGAGGUUAGCAUCAGAAGGUGCUUCGACUCCAGAGGUGGGCACUUGUCCAGUCUCAGUGUCUCUAGACCUGUUUCUUUAUCAAAAACUAACACUUGGUCUAUGCUAUGCAAAUCAGCCUUUCCAAUAAUCGCCAAUUCUGCUCCACUGGAUGAUUUUGAGUACCAAAAAUGCGCUAGUAGCUUUACAUUUUGCAUCAUGACACGACACAUACUUUCAAUCCAGGAGAUGAGAAUCACUGACGAGAAUACUCGACAGUUGGUUACCUCAAGCUCUUGUAGCUUGGGGAACCAAUCUAGGGAAACAAUGUGGUUUGGGAAAGGCAACCCCAACAGUCUCGGGCACUCUCUAAUAAUCAGAACUUGCAAAAAGGGGAACAUAUGAGAAUCUGGUGGCAACAACUCUCCACCCAUGGAAGACUCUUGUUCACCACCUGUGUAAACCCAUUUUUCAAAACUUCCAAGGCCAAUAAGUAUUACCAUUUAAGUUGUCGAUCAAGAUUUUCUCAACAGGGAGCUGCCAUUCCACAUCACUCUGACCCCCUCCUAGUGGUCGAACUAGACCAACUGAACUUUUUACAAUCAGUAUCUUCAGCGAGNNNNNNNNNNNNNNNNNNNNNNNNNNNNNNNNNNNNNNNNNNNNNNNNNNNNNNNNNNNNNNNNNNNNNNNNNNNNNNNNNNNNNNNNNNNNNNNNNNNNAAGGAUCAGCUCCGUGCAGUCAUAGAGCAAAAAUUCCCGUAGUGUGUCACAGAGAUGAAGUGGGAAGAGCAGCACCCCAUCACCAUCAUCCUCUUCCUCUGCUGCUGCUGUUAUUUCACCUCCUUCCAUCUCUGAUGAUGUUGAUGUUGUUUGUUGCACGCCCACCCCCACUACCAGCUUUUUUAUGUUUUUACAACUCCGUAUAGUCAAUUUGGAGAGAUUUGGGAGGUGGGGGAGGAGCUCUGUCAAUUCCUCGCCAGUAUUACCAUUUAAGUUGUCGAUCAAGAUUUUCUCAACAGGGAGCUGCCAUUCCACAUCACUCUGACCUCCUCCAAGUGAUCCAACUAGACCAACUGAACUUCGUACAAUCAGUGUAUUCAGCGAGGUUAGCAUCAGAAGGUGCUUCAACUCCAGAGGUGGGCACUUUUCCAGUGUCAGCUUCUCUACAUCUGUUUCUUUAUCAAAAACUAACACUUGGUCUAUGCUAUGCAAAUCAGCCUCUCCAAAAAUGUUCAAUUCUGCUCCACUGGAUGAUUUUGAGUACCAAAAAUGCGCUGGUAGCUUUACAUUUUCCAUCAUGACAUGACGCAGACUUUCAAUCCAGGAGAUGAGAAUCACUAACGAGAAUUCUGGACAGCCGGUUACCUCAAGCUCUUGUAGCUUGGGGAACCAAUCUGGGGAAACAAUGUGGUUUGGGAAAGGAAACCCCAACAGUUUCGGGCACUUCCUAAUAAUAAGCACUUGCAAAAGUGGGAACAUAUGAGCAUCCGGUGGCAACAAGUCUCCAUCAACGGAAGACUCUUGUUCGCCUGUGUAAACCCAUUUUUCAAAACUUCCUAGGCCAAUGAGUGUAAGCUUUAUUAGCCUGCAAAAGCUUUUCUCUACGAUAAAAUCCUUCAGUCUGGCAAUAUUCUCCAACCUUAAUUCAUGAAGAUCCCACGCCUUCCCUAAUGAAGGGAAAACUUCCCAAGAAACACCAUCCAGAUAAAGAGAUUGUAGAGCCUCAACAGCAAACUCAUCACCCAGCCAUGUUGGACAAGACGGACCUCCAUGCCCUCUAAUGCACAACACCUGAAGAUCUCCAUGUGGCUGAAGGAUCUCAAGAACCGCUGCUUCCACGCUAGGCUCAACACUAGAUCGCUCACUAUCCCAGCACAAUGUUAACCUUCUCAGGUAGUUUUUCUCUAUCAGUUUUGCUUGAGCUGCUUCUUCUUCUGUGUGUAUUUUCUCAAGGUUGUAGAUGCCAAGCUCCCUGAGCUUGCUUAAAUGCUCUAGUUGCUUUGGUUCAAAUCCUUCACUUUUUUUAUUGACUCGAAAUACCUUCAACUCUUCUAAGAGUUUAAGUUUUCCCACAUUAUAAAUAUCAGAAUGAAGCUGACCAUCACCUGGGGCAUAAAAAUGGCACAAUUUGGCAAGGUUGCUCAUGUCUUCGGGCAAAUCACAACUCCCUUCCCAUGGCUGAAGAUCUAGAACCCUUAAAUGAUAAAAUUUAGAGAUGUUGAGUGGUAAAUGCAUCUCUCUGUCACAUGUCCCUAGACAUAGGCAUCGUAGGUGGACAAGUCUUGAAAAGUUAUGUAACAUGGACUCCAUGGGAUACAUCAUGUCAAGCAAAUAAAGAACGCGAAGAGCAUUUGCUUCCCAAAGAAAAUCACCAAAUAUCUUGGCCAAACUUCCAUCCAUUUUACCAAAUAACAUAAAUGUGUGCAAAUGUUCAACCUUCAAUUUUGUCUUCAGUUCUUCCAAUUCACUUCUUAAUUUUUCACCUGACACUGCAUCAUAUUUGCCUAAGUCGUGUAUGGUUAUAGACAAGUGAUGGGUGGUGGGCUGAAUUUCCACUGAUCCAACAUUAGGGAGACAUAAACAAAGACAAUCAUGCGAUGCAACCUUCAUUGCCAAAUCAUGUAGUAGGUCAUGCAUAACAUAUAACAAAACACCAUCAGUUUCCUCUUCCUUGAAAAAUCCAUAACUGACUAACUCAGUUAAAUUGCUCAAACCUAUAUCUUCAAAUGUUUGAUUUUGAUCACUAGGUAUCAAAAUAUCUAGUCCGAUCCACAGGCUGAUGAGAUCAUAGCUUCUCAGACGUAUAUCUUCAGGAAUCAAUGCAGAAUAGGAAAAACAUUGCUGGAGAUGGAAAGGGAGAAAGUCAUAGCUAAGCCUCAAGGCAGACAUAAUUCCAUCGGUUUGCUUUUCCCAUUCUUUACUUUUGAGAACCCUUUUCCAAUGAUACAAACUAUGUUCUUUACUCAGUAAUCUACCAACAGUUUUUGCUGCAAGAGGGGAGCCCUUUAGUUUUUCCAUUAUCUUAUCUGCGGUCUCAAGCAGAAAAUGUUUGUCCCUUGGACAUUGCUCAUCACCGAAGAUAAAUGCAAGGAAUAACUUUCUAAACUCUUCAGAUUUUAAACCGUCCAGUUCUAUUGAAUGGCCAGUUGGUUUAACCUUCUGUGCUAUUGCUUGAAACCGGGUUGUGACCAGAACCAUGGAACCUUUUUCUUGUGAUUGGUUGAGUAUCGACAUGAGUUUUUCCCAGUCACCCACAUUACUAAUCUGCCAUAUAUCAUCCAAUACAAGUAAGAACCUUUUAGAUUUCAAUCUUUCUUCAAUCAACUCUUCAAUUGUACUGCCCUCCUUUUCACUUUCAACUGGACGAGUACCUACUUUAAUCUGUUCAAACACCUUAUCCAGAUUGAAAUUGAAUGACACACAUAUCCAAAUCAUUACUGGAAAAUGAUUCUGCACCUGUUGGUCGUGAUAUAUGUGUUGUAUCAGAGUUGUCUUCCCCAUUCCCCCAGGACCCACAACCGGAAGCACAGUCAGACUCUUGUCACGGUAUUGACCCAGGGUGAUAUCAUGUAUGAUGCUAUUCAUGACACGAUCCCUCCCGUACAUUUUUGGCUCAUCAAUUCGACCUUUGGUGAUGGGACGGCUCUGAGCAAUGUCUGGGAUGGUUCUAGGGCCACAACCUUGCAGAAUCUUGGUAACCUCGUUGCGCAUAAGCUUUAGUUGCUGUACAGUGUCCUUCAUCCUUUGGGAGAAAUCCACCCUAUUAAACUCAUGCAUUGGUUUUCCUUGCGCAUUGGCGCCAACUUGAUCACCAUGAACAUGUGGAUGCGGGGAAGAUGAGCAAGGGAGGAGUUUACUGAGCUUGGGCAUGCAUCCACUAAGCUCCUGACCAGCCUGAUUUGAAUCGCCACCAGGUGAUCUCUGCCUGCCACACGGCCAAGCUGCACAACAACUGACAUUUUGCCUUGCUACUCCCUGCCGGUGAUCGCCACCGGUGUUGGCACCAAAGCAGUACGACAGCUGUUUGGCAAGAGCUUUUGCGGUGUGGCGAGCAUUGAGGGCGAGGUUGCAGACGCAGCCCUUGCCGUGCUGGUCAGCAGCAUCGUACGUGCCGUGGAGCUCGUCGUGGAUGCGGAAGUAGUCCAGCUCGUCCAGCAAGUCCUCGGCGUUGCGCGCCGAGUCGAGCAGCCUCUGCAGCAGCUCCUCCAUGGCCGUACCGCAGAUGUCCUUGCGUGCAGCUUGUUGGAGCGUGGCCUUGACGAGCAGCAGUUGUGUGCUCAGGGCCUCGAUGUUGGGACCCAAGUUGCUGGUGGCUGACCAAGCCCCCAGCACGCCAUCUGCAACGGGGCCUAGCGCCUUCUCCACCACCCAUUGUGCCGCACCCAGGGCGGCCUCGGUCAUCGCCGCCUGCCCGCCUGCCUGCCNNNNNNNNNNNNNNNNNNNNNNNNNNNNNNNNNNNNNNNNNNNNNNNNNNNNNNNNNNNNNNNNNNNNNNNNNNNNNNNNNNNNNNNNNNNNNNNNNNNNNNNNNNNNNNNNNNNNNNNNNNNNNNNNNNNNNNNNNNNNNNNNNNNNNNNNNNNNNNNNNNNNNNNNNNNNNNNNNNNNNNNNNNNNNNNNNNNNNNNNNNNNNNNNNNNNNNNNNNNNNNNNNNNNNNNNNNNNNNNNNNNNNNNNNNNNNNNNNNNNNNNNNNNNNNNNNNNNNNNNNNNNNNNNNNNNNNNNNNNNNNNNNNNNNNNNNNNNNNNNNNNNNNNNNNNNNNNNNNNNNNNNNNNNNNNNNNNNNNNNNNNNNNNNNNNNNNNNNNNNNNNNNNNNNNNNNNNNNNNNNNNNNNNNNNNNNNNNNNNNNNNNNNNNNNNNNNNNNNNNNNNNNNNNNNNNNNNNNCCUGCAUCCAGGAAUCAAAAAGGAUUUUAAUUUAUUUUGUUGUAAGCAGGCUGAAUUAUGAAUGGGCAGGGGUAUCCCAACUAGUAUCUGUUGAGAGAAAUUUUCAAUCACAAGAGAAUAUAUAGUCAAGGCACCAGGACAGAGCCAUUUUCAAUCACAAGGGAAGUAUAAUGCUGAAUCAAGUCACGAGAAAAGGGGAGGGCAAAAACAGAGCAGGAGAAUAAGCACAAAUAAUAAAAAUGCUUAACGAAAAUCUUGUGUAUUUCUCUGUGGCCAACAGAGAGAUCUGACCUGCUGCUGCGCCGGUGCGGCUGGUUAGGUUCAGAUACGGCGAGCUGAGCUGCGUCCCGGACGGCGAUGUGGAGGCGACGAGCGGGACGGCCGGGGAGCCAACCAGCUUGAGAUUGAGUGUGGAGUGAGGAAAGUAUCUCUAUCGCCAAAGAUUGAGUGUGGAGUGAGCACUGAGAAGUGGAGUCUCCUCCCCUGGAUCUGGAUCGGACGCACACUGUUGCUCCUGUCUGUCUGUGCUGUGCAAACUGUAAUGAUUAAAGUUUUUCCUUGACUUCACCUACCGCAAAAGUCUCCAACACCGAUCCAUAAAUAUGCUCCAGCAUCUGUCCAAGGAUAUUGGUGCGUAAACUGGUCAUUCAAAAUUAUUCGCAUAUGUUUCAUAAAUUAUUUAAACGGUGCAGACGAUAUUCAUGCAAAGACAUUGAAUUUAAGUAAAGUUUGGAUAUAACUUAUAUAAAAGUCCUAUACCAGACGACCACCUCGUAUGCGUCGUCGCUCCGUCCUGUCGAACCGCCGUCACCCUCCGUGCCGCCGUCGUCGUCGUUGUCCCUCCAAUGGCGCAGGGAUACCGGAGGGGCGUGACAGUCUUGUCCCGCGGUUGCCUACCACUCACGGAGGAGCCGUUCCGGCUCCUGUUGCAUGGUGCGGAGGGCCGCCUUGGCCACUACCGACGGCGUCGACUGAACCCUGGUACCAGCCUUGCCCCUGCCGGCGUUGGCGGAGCAGUUGCCAAGCGACCACUCCUCACCGAUCUUGGGGAGCUUGUUGUCAAGGCGUCUGUCGGUCGUCCCUACGGUGGUGAUGGAGUGCUUGAGCGUUCAUCCCCUGCCGUCUCUUGUCCAACUCCGAUGCUAUUACUUGGGUGUUACAAUUUGCCGUUCGUUGCGGCAAAUUGUCGCCACAACGUGCAGGGCAACACUCAAGAUUGAGCGAAGUGGGUCGACCCAGUAUGCAAGUCAUUUUGUUUUUGAUUUUGGGCACCUUCUUGAAGUUCCACGCCAGUUUUCUUUGGUUUUGGAAACCUUCCAGACCNNNNNNNNNNNNNNNNNNNNNNNNNNNNNNNNNNNNNNNNNNNNNNNNNNNNNNNNNNNNNNNNNNNNNNNNNNNNNNNNNNNNNNNNNNNNNNNNNNNNNNNNNNNNNNNNNNNNNNNNNNNNNNNNNNNNNNNNNNNNNNNNNNNNNNNNNNNNNNNNNNNNNNNNNNNNNNNNNNNNNNNNNNNNNNNNNNNNNNNNNNNNNNNNNNNNNNNNNNNNNNNNNNNNNNNNNNNNNNNNNNNNNNNNNNNNNNNNNNNNNNNNNNNNNNNNNNNNNCAAAUAAAGACUUUUUUUUUGAAAUGGGAACAUCUUUUAGAUUCCAGAACAAAAGUUGUAAAUGCAAACAUUUUUGAAGUUUUGAGGACACUUUUAGUUCUGAACAUUUUUGAUAAAAACAAAAAUAAAUCAAAAUUGAGAACAAAAUUUCAAAUCCUGAACAAUUUUUAAAACAAAAUGAACAAUUUAUUGAAAAUCAUACAUUAUUUGAAAAUGAAAACUUAAGUCGUUUGUUCCGUAAAACUGAACUUUCCAGGUAUACCAUCUAGUCUUCAAGAGGUUUUGGCAGAAUGUAAACAGAAGUGGCUACAAGCCUACUAAAGAAACACAAUAACACGUGAAAAGCAAGCAAGAAGAAAUUAGGAAUGCGGGAGUAGUGAUAGAAACAUAGCAGUAUGUUUGAAAAAAUGAUCACCUAAAUAUCUGUAGCUGGUACUGAUGCUGUACUGACAUGUUGAUUGUGACAAUCAAAAUAGGCACGUCUUUGAAUGACAAAUAACCCAAUUUAAAUGCAACAUAUGAAGCCCAUAAGAUCAAAAGAACACGUUCGCAGAGAACCAAACCAUAUGUUUAUCACAGGUUAUGUUAGUAAUGAGUAGUAAUCAGCCCUGCUUAAAAAAAACGAGAUCAAUCCGGACUAGACUAGCUUGUUGGUAUUUUUUUAUAGAAGAAAAACUCCAUGAACACCGAGUGUUUAGCCAAGGCUCAAACACCGACGGACUGGCUGCAAACUCCAGCGUCAAGCCAACUAAGCUAUGCUCGGUUCUUAUAAUCAGCCCUGCUUCAGCACACCUCUACCCAAAAAGGUAUAAAGGGCAAUAUACAGACGUACGCACUUCAUAUGUUGGACCGCCAAAACGUAUACGCGAUGUGUACAGACGUACGUUCGGCUCCCCUACUCGUCGGACCCUCGCAUAAACAGGAAAAGAAAAGAAAACCAUUGGACUCUCCCGAUCCACAACCGUUGUCGCGACUCUGACCAGUGGCCAUCUCCAGUCGUCGUCGACCCCGCUUGGAUCCCAUUCGUGAGUCGACGUCGGUGUUGAGCUCAUCGACAUCGUUGGACGCGGCACCGUCGACGCCCCCCUCACACACGACACUGUUGCCAUCACCCUCCUCGCAAUUGGCAACGUCAAGCAUGCCGUCAUCAGCGCCCCUCCCGCAUACGUCACCGCCCCUCGUGGAAGACUUUUCAUGUUCAAUGAUCUUUGAUCACUGAGUUUCUGUUUCAGGUGACCAAUUUGAUUUCGGUCCAUUACUUUCUACUAUGUUGAUAAAAGAUUGAAGGAUCGUUGUGAGGCACAUCGAUGUCACGAGGUACCUCCAUCUAUUUACCAUAUUCGAUAUUCAAUUUUCUGUGACACCACUGUUUUUGAGUCGAACGAGAAGACCCACUCACAAUAGCUUAAGAGCUCUUACAGUUCGUCGCUGCCAUCGGCACAUCAGCACAUCGGAAUGGUUCUUAUGCAUCUGGAUAUCAGUUUUUCCUACCUUGUGCGUGAAUUCUCAGUGAACGUUUAUUCAGGCAGCUUGGACCUCACCUUUGCCCCAUCAGCACAUCGGAAUGGUUCUUAUGCAUUUGUGAGUGGCAUUGAGAUUGUGCCCAUCAGCACAUUGGAAUGGUUCUUAUGCAUUUGUGAGUGGCAUUGAUUAAAUAAGGAUUCGGCAAGCUACAAGGGGAGAUACAGCAUGUUACUAUGUUACCUUUUAAAUCUCCCCCCCACAGAACUGAUAGUUGUAGUUACAUUUGCUAAAAUUUAAAGCAUGUGGCCUUUUGGUAUAUGCAUCUUUUGGCAAAAGUCAUUUAAAUUUAUUUGUAUAUAUUUCAAAAAUUAUUUAAACAACACAGAUGAAAUUCAUGCAAACACGAUGAAUUUCAUUAAAGUCCCGAUAUGACUUACAUAAAAAUCCUAUACCAGACGACCACCCCGUAUGCGUCGUCGCUCUGUCCUGUCGCAUCACCAUCGUCGUCGUUGUCCCUUCAGCGGCGCGCAGGGAUAAUGGAGGGGCGUGGCAGUCUUGUCCGAAGGUUGCCUGCCGCUCUGGCUCCUGUUGCAUGGUGCGGAGGGCCGCCUUUGACACUGCUGACGGUGCCAGCGGAGCCCUGGUGGCAGCCUUGUCCCUGUCGGCGUUGGUGGAGUAGUCGCCAAGCGACCACUCCUCACCAAUCUUGACGAGCCUGCCAUCAAGGCGAUGGUGCCUGGCGGUCGUCUUCACGGUGGUGACGGAGCGGUCGAGCGAACACGCGGCGACGAGGUUAGGGUCGUUGCGGACCCAUUCUGGCGACACAUCCGUCUUGGCAAACGCGGAGCGGUGACCGGCAUUCCGCUGGUCGUACCUCACCCGGUGCCUUGAAGCACGCUCUGCAUCGGAUACCAAGCCCUCGAGCCAGAGGCACCGCCUCCUCCGAGGUAGUAGAGGAUGCGAUCACACGCCUUCGCGAUAGCAGUCGAAGACUCCUCCUUUAUCAACAAGGCAGUGGCGACAUGGUGGCGAUGAGGGCCCACCUGUCCGCUUCACGGGGACGGUGGCUCCUCCUCCAUGCGCGUCGGCGAUGGUGUCGCUGGGCCCAUCUGGCGAACGAAUUCUUCGUCUGUCAGAGCCACCUCCGAGAGGAGACGAGGACGCUGCUACGAUUGUUGGCCCUCCUCAUCGCCGGAGGAGAUGACUUGCCGGAGACACCGCCAUGGAUGCGGAUGUGCCAGAAGAGCAAGGGCAGUGCCCCCACGAUCCGCCUGUAGAGGGCGGCAUGUCGUGUUCAUCUUCACACUAUGACGAUAAAACAAACAUACUUCAUCAUCAUCGGCCACCAAGAAUCACCGCCAAAAUCAUCGGCCAAAAGGAAAACAAGUUUUUUUUACAUUGUUGCCAUUUCCUCAAGUACUUGGUAGGGGUGGCCCUUUUUGCCGGCUAAGACGGCCAGACGCGUCGGAGCAUUGGCCGUAAGAGUGGUCGGGGAUGCUGCACGAGGCGCCAAACGUGGAUCGGUGGCCGGAGUGGCCUUCUUGGCCUCCUCGGCGAGGGACGAUGUGCGACCGUCAGUCUCCUAGCUUGCUUGCUGCCAGCGAGCAGCGUGAGGGCGGCAUGCCGUCGCUGGAGAGGCAGUGACCAUCCCAACGCCCGGACGUGCCGGAGUAGUGACCGUAGGGGUGGCCAGAGACGCUGCACGAGGCCCCAGACGUGGACAGGGGGACAGAGUGGCCUGCUUCUUUUUCUUCUUCACAGCCUCCUCGACGAGGGCUGACGCUACGACCAUCGAUCUCCUAGCUCGCUUGUCACGGGCAUGAAGCGGGAGGGCGGCCUACGUCAUUUGAGAGGCAGUGGCCACCUUGACAACCUUGGUGGCGACGAGAGCUGAUGCUUGAGGCUGGUGAAGAGUUUUCAUCCUCAACCUCUUUUUCUGUGCGGGUGGAGGCGCGAUGGUGGUUUUCGAUAACGAUAAAAUGGUCGGCGGGGUUGUGAAAGGGUCUUUACUAGUACCCAUUCUAGUGGUGAGGGCGGUCAUUGAUGGCAACGACGACAGGACGGGGGAAAGAGGCGGGACGUGUUUACUCGGCCGUGCGGGCGUCGAGUAUAUUUAGGCACUAUGGGAGGGGAUUUUGGUGGACGGGUAAAAAAAAUAGUUCCUUAUAGAAUUCAAGGGAUGGGUUAGUUGCGGCUCAGUGGAGUAAACUAGAAAAUUUAUUCCAUUGUAGCUUUUUAGGGGAUUGGCUUCAGAUGCUCGAAUUAACUAACACGGGAGGUCCAGAUGCUUAAAACUGUUGAUUCUGCUGUUUUUAUUUAAACUCAUAUUUUGUUUGAUUUUUCUUUAAAGAAUUCGGAUAUGGAUCUUGAGAAUGUGAGAUAGCAAAUGUUUCUGGAGGGACGGAGAUCCAGUGACUCGGCCGUAACUCGCGGAGAGAUAGCCGUUGGAUGAAGGAUGGGCAAUCCAGAUCAAACACCGUAGUAAAAGUACUGUAGACGGUAAUGUACGCGAAUCACUGUAGCUCACCGACUAUGCACAAAUUCCUGUUGACCGAGAUCCGUUGAUUUUUCAUCAGAAUGUGUGAAGAAGGGGUUGACUUGCACACGGAUCUCAGUCCGUUUUGGAGAGACAUGGAAAGUUUGAAACGAGUCAUCAGCUGGUCCCUGUUCAAAAAAAAAAAGGGGGGUCACCAGCUGGUAUGAUUGGACCGUUUGCUCAACGAGAAGCAUCGCGAGAUUGGAAUUGUGGGUGGAGCCCAACGGGAAGGUACCUUUUGAAGAAUCAUCAUCCUUUAUAUGGGCAAUUGGGCCAGUCUGAUUCCAACACACACAUGCUUCAUUAUUUGAUUUGAGCUAGCUUCCAUUUUGUGCGGUACUCCUACAACAACGUGUUACACACACACAUGCUUUUGUCACGGUCACGCGAUUCCAACACUAAACCCCAAAUGAGCACCGUAUUUGUCCGUAAACUACUUCAAACAAGUCUGCGAAUACGGAUACGGAAGCUGGUCGUCCAACCAUGUCCUCUGAAUUUCUAUCCAUAUUUUUGUUUCUUAUGCUACAUUUUGAGAUAAUAAAUACGUCUUUUAUCGAAAAUAUUUUUGUUUCUUAUGUCUGCAACACUCUCCCCCGUCUAGCCAUGUUUUAAAUGGAGGUAAUAGCACCCCAAGUCCUAGAACUUGCAUGGCAUGUGAUGGUUUGAUCCUAGAACUUGCAAAGUUCACCUAUUUGAUCCUAGAACUUGCAUGUGUGGUGCAUUUUUAGUCCACAGCCAGUCACAGCUUGCCAAGUGGACAGGUGGGUCAGGUUUGGUCAUUUUGCGCCCAGGCCCUUGCGUUUAGCACUUAUUAAUCCGGAGCUGUCGGCAGAAACCUGAGAAAACACCUGCAUUUAAUAACCCUGUGCUUACUUACUCCUCCUCCUCCUCUCUGCUUACCCCCGCGCUGGAGACAGUAGCUCAGCAGCUCCCGUCGCCCUGCCCCUCUCUGUUUAUCUUCUCCCCAGCCUCUGUGUGUUGUUCUUCAACAAGGUCGUUGCGUGCAGCAAUGGUGUCCUGGAGCGAGGGAUCCUACUCCUCCUCCUCCUCUGACAGCGACGUCAGCAGCCCGGUUAGCUUAUCUUCUUCUUCUUUUCCUCCUCCUUCAUUUAGGGUUUGCACAUUUGGGAUUUCCUCACCAGUUAUUCUUUUAGGCUCCUCCAACCAUUUUGUGCGUGGAAUGGAGAGGUCUAGCUGCAGAUCUAAGUGCUAGAUGUGAACAUGAAGCCAUAUGUGAAAAAUAUGUUGCCUUUCAGUCAGUGGAUAGUGGCAGAAGAUUCUUAGGUUAUGCACAAAAGGUUAGUGGAUUAUCAGAUCUACACAUUUUCUAUAUUAUGGUUUAUGUAGCUCUGUCUUAGUAAUGUUUUGAUGUACAGGUUUUGCACAAAGUGUUUUUGUCUGUCUUAGUAAUGUUGAAAAGAUGUUAUUUCUAAAUAUGUGUUGCUGACAUACCAAAAUGGGUAGUUAUUGAGAUAAAAAAAUUGGUAGUUGUUCAGAUAACAUAAUGUUUAUUAUUCAGAUAACAUAAUGUUUAUUAUUCAGAUAACAUAAUGUUUAAUUCAGAUAAGUACUUAUUAAAAUAACUGAAAUGUCUUUCUAUUUUGUAUUUAUAGGAAGGACCUAAAUGUGGCUAUGUGGAGUGGGUUGACCCAGAGUGGCCUCCUCAGUUGAAGACUACACUAGGUAGGCUGUGGGACAUGUAUGAAGAUGAGAACAAGCUUAGGCUUUCUGAUAAUCUUGCUAAUGCAGAAGGAAAUUUUAAGGUGCUGAAAGAGAAGGAGAAGAUGGAAAAAGAUCUAAGUUUUUUCAAGCUUGAUUUUGCUAAGAUGGUAGCUGACAAAGAGCAGGCAUUGGCUGAGCUAGGAAACACAAAAAUUGCUCUUACUGACCUAAAGGAAGAGUUACAGAAGAAGAGCAUUUCAGACAAAUCUGCCACAAAUAUUCAUCAGGUAUUUAGGGCUAAGGCAGAGAAAGACCUUGAGCUCAUGAAGAAAGAGCUUAAGCUCAUGAAGCAGGAGAGGGAAAAAAACAAUGAAAGAUAGUGAUGAGGUUAUGCAAGAGAUGGAGAAACUGAUGCAAGAGAGGGAUGAGUUGAAAAAAGACAAAAAGAAAUUAGAGUACAUGAUUGGUGACCUAUUCAAGCAUAAGGAAGAGACAAAAUCAAAGAUAAGGAAGGUCAGGGAGAUAUUAGAUGGAUUUGAGUGAUGAAUGGAUGUAUUAUUUGUUGAGACCUUAGUAAUGUUGGCUUAUUUGGUGAACUUAUAUAUUGUAACCUAUCUCAUUUGCUGAAUUCUUAGGCUUUAUGUUUAUCCACAUCUUUGGUGUACCACAUUUUGCUCAUUCUAGUAAGUGGACCACAUUUCUACUUGAGGCAUGUUGCUACUUAGCCAACCAAUAUUUCUAUCUUUGAUAUACCAGCAUACCUUAAUAGCAAGAACAAGCAAUGCAUUGCUACUUAUAUCCAUAGCAACAACAAGAAAUGCAUACACAUAGACAAUGAAAUAAGAGUAGGCAACCAUUGCUACUUAUAUCCAUAGCAAUAACCUUAACAGUCAGUCCAAAAGAUUUCGAACUUAUAUGCUGUCAUAUAUAUCAGCAUACCUAAACUAGAGAUCACCCAAUAUUUGUAACUUAUGUGUUGUCAUAUACAUCAGCACACCUAACCUACAGAUAACUCCAUAUUUCUAACUUAUAUGCUUUGAUAUACCAGCAUACCUAACAUCCAGAGCAUCUUCUUCUUCAGUCUUGGGCAUCUUCUGUUGGGGAACGUCGCAUGGGAAACAAAAAUUUUCCUACGCGCACGAAGACCUAUCAUGGUGAUGUCCAUCUACGAGAGGGGAUUUCCGAUCUACGUACCCUUGUAGAUCGCACAGCAGAAGCGUUAGUGAACGCGGUUGAUGUAGUGUAACGUCCUCACGUCCCUCGAUCCGCCCCGCGAACCGUCCCACGAACCGUCCCGCGAUCCGUCCCACGAUCUAGUGCCGAACGGACGACACCUCCGCGUUCAGCACACGUACAACUCGACGAUGAUCUCGGCCUUCUUGAUCCAGCAAGAGAGACGGAGAGGUAGAUGAGUUCUCCGAUAGCGUGACGGUGCUCCGGAGGUUGGUGGUGAUCUAAUCUCGGCAGGGCUCCGCCCGAGCUCCGCAGAAACGCGAUCUAGAGGUAAAACCGUGGAGGUAUGUGGUCGGGCUGCCCUUGAAAAGUUGUCUCAAAUCAGCCCUAAUUGCUCCAUAUAUAUAGGAGGAGGGAGGGGAGGCUUGCCUUGAGGCUCAAGGAGCCCCAAGGGCUGCGCACCAAGGGGAGGAGGAGUCCUUCCCCAAUCCUAGUCCAACUAGGAUUGGAAAGUGGAGUCCUUCUCUCCUUUCCCACCUUUUUUCUUNNNNNNNNNNNNNNNNNNNNNNNNNNNNNNNNNNNNNNNNNNNNNNNNNNNNNNNNNNNNNNNNNNNNNNNNNNNNNNNNNNNNNNNNNNNNNNNNUUUUCUCUUUGAUUUUCUAUCCUUGGCGCAUAGGGCCUUCUUGGGCUGUCCCACCAGCCCACCAAGGGCUGGUGCGCCACCCCCAAGGCCUAUGGGCUUCCCCGGGGUGGGUUGCCCCCCGGUGAACACCCGGAACCCAUUCGUCAUUCCCGGUAACUCCGAAAACCUUCCGGUAAUCAAAUGAGGUCAUCCUAUAUAUCAAUCUUCGUUUCUGGACCAUUCCGGAAACCCUCGUGAUGUCUGUGAUCUCAUCCGGGACUCCGAACAACAUUCGGUAACCAACCAUAUAACUCAAAUACGCAUAAAACAACGUCGAACCUUAAGUGUGCAGACCUUUCGGGUUCGAGAACUAUGUAGACAUGACCCGAGUGACUCCUCGGUCAAUAUCCAAUAGCGGGACCUGGAUGCCCGUAUUGGAUCCCACAUAUUCUACGAAGAUCUUAUCGUUUGAACCUCAGUGCCAAGGAUUCAUAUAAUCCCGUAUGUCAUUCCCUUUGUCCUUCGGUAUGUAACUUGCCCGAGAUUCGAUCGUCGGUAUCCGCAUACCUAUUUCAAUCUCGUUUACCGGCAAGUCUCUUUACUCGUUCGUAAUACAAGAUCCCGCAACUUACACUACGUCACAUUGCUUGCAAGGCUUGUGUGUGAUGUUGUAUUACCGAGUGGGCCCCGAGAUACCUCUCCGUCACACGGAGUGACAAAUCCCAGUCUCGAUCCAUACUAACUCAACGUACACCUUCGGAGAUACCUGUAGAGCAUCUUUAUAGUCACCCAGUUACGUUGCGACGUUUGAUACACACAANNNNNNNNNNNNNNNNNNNNNNNNNNNNNNNNNNNNNNNNNNNNNNNNNNNNNNNNNNNNNNNNNNNNNNNNNNNNNNNNNNNNNNNNNNNNNNNNNNNNUUGGGGCUGUCCCACCAGCCCACUAAGGGCUGGUGUGUCUCCCCAAAGCCUAUGGGCUUCCCCGGGGUGGGUUGCCCCCCCGGUGAACUCCCGGAACCCAUUCGUCAUUCCCGGUACAUUCCCGGUAACUCCGAAAACCUUCCGGUAAUCAAAUGAGGUCAUCCUAUAUAUCAAUCUUCGUUUCCGGACCAUUCCGGAAACCCUCGUGACGUCCGUGAUCUCAUCCGGGACUCCGAACAACAUUCGGUAACCAACCAUAUAACUCAAAUACGCAUAAAACAACGUCGAACCUUAAGUGUGCAGACCCUGCGGGUUCGAGAACUAUGUAGACAUGACCCGAGAGACUCCUCGGUCAAUAUCCAGUAGCGGGACCUGGAUGCACAUAUUGGAUCCUACAUAUUCUAUGAAGAUCUUAUCGUUUGAACCUCAGUGCCAAGGAUUCAUAUAAUCCCGUAUGUCAUUCCCUUUGUCCUUCGGUAUGUUACUUGCCCGAGAUUCGNNNNNNNNNNNNNNNNNNNGAAGAUCUUAUCGUUUGAACCUCAGUGCCAAGGAUUCAUAUAAUCCCGUAUGUCAUUCCCUUUGUCCUUCGGUAUGUUACUUGCCCGAGAUUCGAUCGUUAGUAUCCGCAUACCUAUUUCAAUCUCGUUUACCGACAAGUCUCUUUACUCGUGUCGUAAUACAAGAUCCCGCAACUUACACUAAGUUACAUUGCUUGCAAGGCUUGUGUGUGAUGUUGUAUUACNNNNNNNNNNNNNNNNNNNNNNNNNNNNNNNNNNNNNNNNNNNNNNNNNNNNNNNNNNNNNNNNNNNNNNNNNNNNNNNNNNNNNNNNNNNNNNNNNNNNCCGGCAGAGAGGAGGAGGGAGAGGAGCAGGGCUGCGCCGAGAGAGAGAGAUUCAACCGUGUCUCAAACAGCCCCGAACCUAAUCUAUAUAUAGGGGGAGAGGGAGGGGGCGCAGCCCUUAGGGUUCCCACCCCUAAGGGGUGCGGCAGCCCUUAGAUGGGAGAGGGGUGGCGGCCAGGGCAAGGGGGAGGGGUGGCGCACCCCUCUGGUGGGCCUAAGGCCCACCUUAGUUAGGGUUCCCCCCUUCCCCUUUUUCCUGGUGCACAUGGGCUGGGUGGGGGGCGCACCAGCCCACUUAGGGGCUGGUUCCCUUCCCCACUUAGCCCAUCUAGCCUCCCGGGGUCGUCACCCCCCUUCGGUGGUCCCCCGGGACCACCUCCGGUGGUCCCGGUACGUUACCGGUGAUGCCCGAAACACUUCCGGUGUCCGAAACCAUCCGUCCUAUAUAUCAAUCUUUACCUCCGGACCAUUCCGGAGCUCCUCGUGACGUCCGGGAUCUCAUCCGGGACUCCGAACAACUUUCGGUAAUCUCGUAUAACAAUUCCCUAUAACCCUAGCGUCAUCGAACCUUAAGUGUGUAGACCCUACGGGUUCGGGAGACAGACAGACAUGACCGAGACACCUCUCUGGCCAAUAACCAUCAACGGGGUCUGGAUACCCAUGGUGGCUCCCACUAGCUCCACGAUGAUCUCAUCGGAUGAACCACGAUGUCAAGGAUUCAAUCAAUCCCGUAUACGAUUCCAUUUGUCUGUCGGUAUAGAACUUGCCCGAGAUUCGAUCGUCGGUAUACCUAUACCUUGUUCAAUCUCGUUACCGGUAAGUCUCUUUACUCGUUCCGUAGCACGUCAUCGUGUGACUAACUCCUUAGUCACAUUGAGCUCAUGAUGAUGUUCUACCGAGUGGGCCCAGAGAUACCUAUCCGUCACACGGAGUGACAAAUCCCGAUCUCGAUUCGUGCCAACCCAACAGACACUUUCGGAGGUACCCGUAGUGCACCUUUAUAGUCNNNNNNNNNNNNNNNNNNNNNNNNNNNNNNNNNNNNNNNNNNNNNNNNNNNNNNNNNNNNNNNNNNNNNNNNNNNNNNNNNNNNNNNNNNNNNNNNNNNNGGGGGGGGGGGAGUCCUCCCCCCCUUGGCUCGGCCGACCCCUUGGGAGUCCCUUGGACCCCAAGGCAAGGUCCCCCUCCCUCCUCCUAUAUAUAUGGGGGCUUUUAGGGCAGAUUUGAGACGACUUUCUCACGGCUGCCCGACCACAUACCUCCAUAGUUUUUCCUCUAGAUCGCGUUUCUGCGGAGCUCGGGCGGAGCCCUGCUGGGACGAGAUCAUCACCAACCUCCGGAGCGCCAUCACGCUGCCGGAGAACUCUUCUACCUCUCCGUCUCUCUUGCUGGAUCAAGAAGGCCGAGAUCAUCGUCGAGCUGUACGUGUGCUGAACGCGGAGGUGCCGUCCGUACGGUACUAGAUCGUGGGACUGAUCGCGGGAUUGUUCGCGGGGCGGAUCGAGGGACGUGAGGACGUUCCACUACAUCAACCGCGUUCUCUAAACGCUUCUGCUGUACGAUCUACAAGGGUACGUAGAUCACUCAUCCCCUCUCGUAGAUGGACAUCACCAUGAUAGGUCUUCAUGCGCGUAGGAAAUUUUUUGUUUCCCAUGCGACGUUCCCCAACAUAAUGUUCAUCAACAACCUCCACUCCCUCUUGAAUGAGAGCUUCUUGCCAUUUAUAGUGCCCCUUCCUGUUAUGAUCUGUUCUGCCACAAAUUGAGUAGUGCAUUGAAACACCCUUCCUGUUCAACACUUUUACACCAUGUUUAAUCUUCUCCUCUGGUGUCUUCUUCCUGUUCUUCUUGGGCCUUUCCAACUGUUUAGUAAACACUGGUGGAUGCACUUUGUAAGCAUUCUGUAUUUGCCAAUCCUUUGGGUCUGCAAGAGGGAAAAGAGUGUAUCCAUAUGCCUUCAGAUAUGUUUGAACCGUAUAGCAAUCAUGAACCAUUGUCUCUGGGUCAAUCCUCUCCUCUCUGCAACAAGCUAUGGAAUGGCCGCAUGGUACCCCAGACAUCUGCCAUCUCAUGCAUUCACAUGUGUGCUUGCAAAGAUCAACUGUGUAGCUAGAGUUACCAGACUGAACUCUGAAGAUUUGUUGGCCAGCUUCUGAUACAUGACAUUUUGCAGCAAACUCAGUAUUUUUCUGUAAUUUUUUCCUUAUCUUUGGGCAUAUUCUAUGCCCUGUCCACUUUUCUAUAGCUUCUCUUUGUUUAGUCACUAUCCUAUGCAUGAUCUUGUAGAAGAUAUAUUCAAGCAUACUAAGAACUGCCAUCUCUCUGCCAUCAAGAAUGUAACUGUUAAACACUUCAGAGUUAUUGUUCAACAGAAUAUCACAUUUGGGAAAUGUACUGAAAAAUGCCUUGCACCAGGUCUUUGCCUCAAGUCUUUCAGUCCAAUGGAAGGCAGUUGAGGAGUGAUCAUCCAUUUUCUGACAGUUCUCUCUCCACUUCACCUUGUUUGGUGAUCUUGCAAUGGCCCACAAAUCUUGCUUCAGUACCUCUCCUUUGCGCUUCUCAUUAAAAUUUUGAUAAAUAUGCCUCACACAAAACCUGUGUUCUGAAUCUGGCCAAACUUUGUGCACUGCAUUGAUUAAUCCUUUCUGCUUAUCACUCAUUACUGUGAAAGGAGCAGUGUUGGUGAUGUUCAGAUCAUCUCUUAGAGUUGUCAGGAACCACUCCCAAGAACCAGUGCAUUCUACUUCCACCCAACCCAUUGCAAUGGGGAAAAUGCAGUCAUUUGGAUCAAUUCCAACAGCACUAAGAAGCACUCCUUUGAAUCUUGUUUUCAUGUGACAACCAUCAAUAAAUACAAUGGGUCUACAACCUUUUAGCCACCCUCUCUUACAUGCAUCAUAUGACCAGUACAAUGUUUUCAAACAUUUCCUACCCAAUGAAAAUUUUGUAUCUUUUACUAGUGUAGUUGUCAGCAGGAAUGUAGAGCGAGGGUUUUUGCUCCUUAACUCAUGGCCAUAAUCCCAUAGCCUACUAAACUGUUCUUCCUCAUCACCAUGGAUCUGCUUAAGUGCUUCUGUUCUAGCUCUAGCUAACUUCCAUCUGUUAGGACUAACAUUAAACUCCUUAGUUAUUUUCCUUGCAAAUGUUCCAAGUGACAUCUUCUGGUCAUCUCUGAAUUCUUCAAUGAAUGUCUUGCACAGGAAUUUAGCUGUCAAAUCCUUUAACUUCCAUUUCCUUUGACACAAAUGCAAUGGAUUGAAUGCCUUGAUCACAAAUCCUCCAGUCCUGUUAUCAUUUCCAGCCUUGAGCAUCCAUGGGCACCCUGCCUGACAAAUUGCCUCUAACCUUAUCUUGUCAUUCUUCACCUUCUUAAUUUGCACUCUGUUUCUUAUUGCAUAGGCAGUUAGAGCUUUCCUCAUCUCAACCACAUCAGCAAAUACCAUACCCAAAGUGAAAACAGGGCAUUUCAUGUCCACCUUUGAAUUGAAAGUUGUGAACUUGUACUUAAGUUUUUGUUGUUCUUCAAUGGAGAGGUUCAGAUCUUCAUCUUCAAGUAAAUACUCAGGCUCAACAUCUUCCACCUCUGGCUCAGCUUCUUCAUCAACAUCAUAGUCAAUGUUGUCUUCAUACAGAUCAUCAUCUCCAUCAUGAAUGUCAUAAUCACUAUCACUGAUAUCUGAUUCUUCCAACAACACAACAUCACUCAGCAAGUUAGGCUGGGCAGCAUCAUUCAGGAAGUUUGACUCUGCACCAUCAUUCUGCAAGUUUGAGUCUGCAGCAGCAUCAUUCUGCAAGUUUGAGUCUGCAGCAGCAUCAUUCUGCAAGUUUGAGUCUGCAGCAGCAUCAUUCAACAAAUUUGGCUCUGCACCAUCAGUAAGCACAUGUGUGUGUACAACAUCAGUACAAUAUUUGCAGCAUCAGUAAGCAAAUUGUCUGGUUCUGUGCUAUCUUCUGCAACCUCUGAAGUUGGUUUCUCAACAUUCAAGCAGAUGAUCUUGCCUGAAUUGCUUGCAUCAACAGAACAGUUGGCCUCUCUAACAGGGCUUUGAAAUGAUGUCUCCUUCAUUAUCAAAUCUCCCCUGAAAUUACUCAUGAAGUCUGAAUGGUCAACCAUUAUUAGAAGCACUUUAUGAUUAACACUAGCUCUGAUCACUUGCUGCAGAUCCUCAUCAUCUUUAAUUCUCAACAGGCCAUCUAAUAUUGUCUUGUCAGGCAAACACCAGUAGAUGAUGUGCUGAUUCUUAGGAUAUCCCAACCACUUUAGGUGCUGUUCUAAUACUUCAUAAGUAAAUGUGGCAGGAUCUAAAUAGUCUAGCACCUCCACAAAAGAGUUGUAAUACUCCAUCUCACUGACUGCUCCUAGGAAAAUGCCACCAUGCUCAAUUUCCAGUGUGAAAAAAGGAGUGCACACACUUUUUCCCAUUAAUGAAUCACACACUGCAUCCAAACAGUGCAAAAUUCAGUUAAAACUACAUGAUUUGUUCAGUUACAACUAAGCACCAGAUGCAAAAUCUCUUCUUCUCACAAGAUCUAACAAGAAAAUCCCCCCCCCCAAAAACACACUAAAUAGCAGAACCUAAAUCCAUAGCUUAAGCAUUUAAAACUACAUCAACCAUAAAUCAGCACCAACUCUUCUUCUCUCUUCUUCUCACCAGAGCAAGAGCCAACCAUUAAAUCAGAAGCAGCAGCAUAUGUAAUACUUAAAUCAGAAGCAGCAGCAACUCUUAUUCUCACCACAACAAAUCAUGGAUCAGCAAACCAGAGAGGAGAUCACGGGGGGACAAGAGAGAGCAACGACAACUACCGUAGUCUGGUGGGUAAACAGAGUGCGGCCGGACGAGGUGGGUCGACGCAGGCGGUUCCCGGUCGCCGUAGAACUCCGGCGACGCCAUCAGAAGAAGACAAGCUGACGCGCAUGAGGGAGAAGAAGAAAGAANGGUUCCCGGUCGCCGUAGAACUCCGGCGACGCCAUCAGAAGAAGACAAGCUGACGCGCAUGAGGGAGAAGAAGAAAGAAGAAAGAGGAAAAGCGGCGCACGAGAGAGAAGCACAGAACAAAACAAAAGCUUNNNNNNNNNNNNNNNNNNNNNNNNNNNNNNNNNNNNNNNNNNNNNNNNNNNNNNNNNNNNNNNNNNNNNNNNNNNNNNNNNNNNNNNNNNNNNNNNNNNNNAUAGCAUCACUUAGUUGCGUCACAUGCAUGCACGAGAUCACUUAGUUUGUACUUACCACGUUGCAAAUGACGACCAAUUUUAGUUUCAAUCGAAACCAUAAAAAAAAGGAAAAACAAAAUUGCUCACUUUAUUUUGUUCUCUUCUCACAUGCAAUAACACAUGACUUAGAAGUACAUACUUGCAGUAGCAAGUUCUUCUUUAUUACACCCACCGUAGACGCUGAAGGUGAUCUAUCUACAUCCUGACUUCUGAUCAUAUCCAUGCAAGUCUUGCCUUUCUCCAUGUAAGCCUUUGGGAACUAUUGGGAUAUAUAAGAUUGUCUCGAUAUAUAUAUACAUGCUGGACACUAUCCUCUUGUAGGUCGAUUUUCGUGUUUUCACCCUUUUUGCAAAGUUUAGUAGCGAGAUCAGACCCUCAUCUAAAAAAAAUCAGGAUCUCGCUAAACUUUGCAAAAAGGGUCAAAAUACGAAAAUCGGCGCCUCUUGUAUAUAUAUAUUCUAUGCUACGUACCUGCAUAUAUAGCGUACGGGCUAUGUGUAUAUAUUCUAUGCUAUGUAGCUGUAUAUAUAAGAGGUUAGCUGUAUAUAUUAUAUGCUAUGCUAUGUAGCUGUAUACACAACUAUGUUCUGUGUACCAUACAUAGUUGUGUAGAGCAGGGUACAAGCUAUGUAUGGGUCCAUGCUGUACACAACUCUUGUCCUUUGAUGAAAGUGAAAGCGUUGAAAUCUUAUCUCAGUUGUGUCAAAGACACACCUCGUGCAGAACGAGGAUGAAAGCAGCUUGAUGUCGCACAUUUAUAAUUUAUUAAUUACUUCCUCCGUCCUAAAUUUUUUGUCUUAGCUUUAUCUAGAAAUGUAUGUAUCUGAAUAUUAAAACUUGACUAGAUACAUUCAUAUCUAAACAAAUCUAAGACAAGAAUUUUGGGACGGAGGGAGUAUUAGUUAAAUAGUAUGGAUAUGUGAGGGCCAUGAUUCGCCUUUUAAGUAUACCCAACGUGUCCAAACCCUAAAUUAGUGCUCGGAUAUCCCGCUGGGUAACAAAGCUAUUCCAACCAUUCAUAUAUAGGGCCUAAGACGAAUUGUGAUAUUUACCGUGACUAUCGGUCAAUUAAUAAUAUAUGUAGUUCAUGCUACUAUAAUUUUUUUAUCAUUGGGAACCGUUUGCAUAUACAACUUCAACAAUAUAGUACUAAACAUCACAAAUUAUUAUAUUAUUAGCCCCUAUAUAUUGGGAGUGCCAGUUUGCUUGAGGACGUCGUCAACGUUGACAUCACGCACUCGUUGAUCGAGUGUUCAUGCACGACAUCCGUUGCUACCCUUAAUCAAUUAGUUGAUGUGUGACACUGAAAAUGUUGAAGCUGGUGAGUGUGAACGACAUGGACCAACAAUGAUUCAAUCAUCCACCGAUAAUCAAUCGGUUGCUUGUAGGUAGCUACUAGUACGUACUAUCGAUUUGCUUUCUGUUGCAUCAAAUCAUUGUUGUUCAUAAUUUUCUUUGAGACACAUGGUCCUAAUUAAUUAGAACGAGUUAUUGUUGCUGAAUCGAGACUUGAUGAACAUGGAUGGAGUUUGAUUUAAAUAAUUAGAGGCAAAAUAAUAAUAAUAGUNNNNNNNNNNNNNNNNNNNNNNNNNNNNNNNNNNNNNNNNNNNNNNNNNNNNNNNNNNNNNNNNNNNNNNNNNNNNNNNNNNNNNNNNNNNNNNNNNNNNUAAAUAAAUUUCUUUCCGUACUCAUAACCAUAUUAAAAUAACCUCUUAUAUCCACCUAUCAAGUUGCAUCCACAAGCAUACAAAGUUUCAUAUAUUACACCAGUUUCAUCCACGUGCAUACAAAGUUUCAUAUAUUCGUAUACUACAACAGUUUCAAUACAACCCAUGUUACAAGAAAUCAUCUUCAAGCAUUCCAUCAAUAUUUGCCAAGCUUCCCGUGAAGUGAAGGUAAUCUGCAAAAUGACAAAUAAGAAAGUUAGAAGAAUAAUACUAGAUGAAGUAGUGUAUAUAUAGGUUAUUUCGGAGAGAAAUUAGCUAAGUAUAGACCAUUUAGGAGCUAACUAAGCUAAUUAUGUCAUUUAGGUGGAACCCUAGCUAACUAUAGGUCGUUUCAGAGCUAACUUGGGUAAAAUAGGUCAUUCCGGAGCAAACUAUGCUUAUUAAGCCAUUUUUGAUCUAGCUAGGCUAAUUAUAGGCCAUUUAAUACCUAAGUUAGGGGGAAUAUGUCAUGUUGCAGCUACGUAAGCCUUAUUAUGUCAUUUCGACGAUAAUUAGCUAAGUAUAGGUCAUUUUUUAUUAAAUAGACCAUUUAGGAGCUAACUAAGCUAAUUAUGUCAUUUAGAUGGAUAAUUAGCAAAUUUAGGCUAUGUUGGAUGAGUCUAAUUAAGCUACGUAGAAUAAGAGAAAGAGAAGAAGAAGNNNNNNNNNNNNNNNNNNNNNNNNNNNNNNNNNNNNNNNNNNNNNNNNNNNNNNNNNNNNNNNNNNNNNNNNNNNNNNNNNNNNNNNNNNNNNNNNNNNNAUAUAUACAUGCGUAUUUAGUUUAUAGUAAAAUUUGUAGAAAGACAAAUAUUUAAGAAGGGAGGGGAGUAGACAAUAGCACGGUCAACAACAGGCUAGAACAUGAGCUCGUAGCGACCGAUGACGUACCCUCUCAAACGAGACAUAUAAUGCUCGCGAGGCAACUCGCAAGGCGGCACCAGUAGUAGCUGAGAGCUGAAAGGUUUGUCCCGCCAUCCGUGUUUUUUUGUUUAUCUACGAAACGAGAUACUACCUCCGUCCAAGUAUAUAAGGCAUGCACGUAGUUCUAGGUUAUCAGUUUAACUAGCUAAAUAUUUAUUAUAUGUGAUAAAAAUUAUAUAUUCAGAAACUACAUCUUUACAUGAAUCUAGUGAUAUAUUAUUUGUUACAUAUAAUAUAUAUUUAAAUAGUUAAAUUAACGACCUAGAACUAUGCGCAUGCCCUAUACACUUGGACGAAGGGAGUACUUUCUUUUCAGGCGGUUGCUACGCGUAAGCCGACUGAUUUUUUAAAAGAUCAGUCGCCCGCGAAGCCGUGAGAUACAGGCGUGCAUGGCCGUUAAAAUGUAGGCUAGCACCAGCGCGUUUUUCUUGUCAAUCUUCGCAUCUUCAGCCAAGUCGUUGGAGUAGCAGCUCCUUCUUGGUCAGUAGUGCGGUGUCGUUUUUGGUCACAGCAGCUCCUCCCCGGCCGGUAAUGCAGUGUUGUCGUUUGCCGGAGUGUCGUUUUGGUCAUAGCAGCUCCUCUCCGGCCGAUAGUGUAGUGUCGUGGUUCGCCGACGCCGGAGUGUUGUUUUGGUCGCAACAGCCUCACCACCGUACCAUGGACGAUGCUCUGACGCAACAUUCGAUGGCCCGUUACGAUGCUUCGACACAACACCGACGUCCAACGAUGUUCCGCUGCAGUUCCAUAGCAGCACCCAGAUCUGACCAAACGGGGUCGUCAUUGACGGGCCGGUCCGACUGCCCGCAGGCCAGGCAUGACAUGGACCGGGCCCGACACGACUCAAAUGGGUCGUGCCAGGCACGCGGCACGCCUCGGGCCNNNNNNNNNNNNNNNNNNNNNNNNNNNNNNNNNNNNNNNNNNNNNNNNNNNNNNNNNNNNNNNNNNNNNNNNNNNNNNNNNNNNNNNNNNNNNNNNNNNNGGGCGGUCACCGAACCCGUACAAAUGGCAACCCUUGGGGGCGGUCACCGAACCCGUACAAAUGGCAACCCUUGGGGGCGGUCACCGAACCCGUACACGUGGCAACCCUUGGGGGCGGUUACCGGUACCCGUACAAAUUGCUCGGGGCAAUCUCCACAACCUUAUUGGAGACCCCGACGCUUCCCGGAGCUUCACACCACAAUGAUUGAGCUCCGAGACACCACCAAGCUUCUAGGACGCCAAAGCAUCCACGAAGAACAAUAUCAAGGGUACUAAGUACCAAAGGUAGUAAGCUUCUCAACUUCUCACUUCCACGUAUCACCGUGGAGAACUCAAACCGAUGCAACUAAUGCAAUGGCAAGAACACACGAAGUGGUCAAGUCCCUCACACUCAAAUCCCUACACAACAACAAAAGCUAUGGAGAAAUAUGAGAGGAAGAACAAGGAGCUCACAAAGAACUCCAAGAUCAAGAUCCAAGGGGUUCCCCUCACAUAGAGGAGAAAGUGAUUGGUGGAGAUGUGGAUCUAGAUCUCCUCUCUCUUUUCCCUCAAGAACAAGCAAGAAUCAUUGGAGGGAUAGAGAGUAAUCAAGCUCUAAGAAUGUCAACAAUGGAGAUAGAACAAGAGCUCAACGGAUGGAUAAGUCCAAGGGGGAAGAAGACCCCCUUUAUAUAGUGGGGGAAGGAAUCAGACCGUUACCCCACUUUCUGCCCGAGCUCCAGCGGUACUACCGCUGGCUGCAGCGGUACUACCGCUGGCACUCCAGCGGUACUACCGCUGGGCUCCUGGUAGUGCAACGGCACUACCACCGCCAAGAAAGUCUUCGCAAAAAGGUCCGUCCACGAACAACCGCUAGGCAGGCGGUACUAAGCUCCUGGAGCGGUACUACCGCUGACCAGGGGCGGUACUACCGCGAGCCAGCGGUACUACCGCUAGGGCCAGCGGUACUACCGCCAACUCUAGCGGUACUACCGCUAGGUCCAGCGGUACUACCGCUAGGUCGAGCGGUACUACCGCUCGCCACUGAAACAGCCAUAACUUUCGCAUACGAGCUCCGAAUCGAGCAAACCCAAGCUUGUUGGAUUCAGGACGACAAGGGCUAUCCAAACAGCGACUGGAAAUCUUAAGACCAUGCGGUUAUGAAUAUGCCAAAGAUAUAGAGAUGUGAGAUCUCUAUGAAUGAAGAACCGGCAAAAACUCCAACAUCGAAAACAUCAUAGUAGAUGCAUAUGGACUCCGUUUUCGAUGAACUCGAGCUUGUCAUGAAGAUGACCAUAAGCUCUAAAACUCACAAAGAGAAACACCAACUAAGAACCAAGAAGUAUGAUGCAAGGAUGCAAAUGGUUUGAGCUCUCAACGAACGAUACGAUCAAGCUACUCACUUGAGAGCCCCCCUUGAUAGAACAACAAUCUAUCCUAACCAGAAAACCUAUCAAGGGCAAACCUAUACCUUGCACCUCAUCCUCUUGAGCUAGAUGAUGAUGAUCUUGGCUUCCUCAAGAUGGACCACCUUUCUUGAUUGUGUUGGCUUGAUGAAGACUAGUUGAUUGCUCCCCCAUACUCACUAUGGGUGAGCCACUCUUCAGCAUAUCUUCACAAGUCCAUUGCCACCAUAAUGGACGGCAAGCUUCAAGCAUGCUAUCUUCGUGCUGAUCCACUUGAACUUGCACACCGCAAUCUUGAUGACGAUCACAACUUGACGUCAUACUCCAUGGGUUGUAUGAGAUCUUCCCUUUGACGCAAGCCCAUGGAAACACACCUAACCCCCACAUAGAACUCUCACGAAGACCAUGGGUUAGUACACAAACACGUAAUGGACAAUGCUUACCAUACCAUGGGAUCACUUGAUCCCUCUCGGUACAUCUUGUACGCUUUGUGUGUUGAUCAUCUUGAUUUACUCUUUGUCUGAGAUCUUGAUCAACCAUUGAUGAUGAUCACAUCUUGACGUCAUACUCCAUGGGUUGUAUGAGAUCGUCCUUUUGACGCAAGCCCAUGUAAACACACCUAACCCCCACAUAGAACUCUCACGAAGACCAUGGGUUAGUACACAAGCACGUAAUGGACAAUGCUUACCAUACCAUGGGAUCACUUGAUCCCUCUCGGUACAUCUUGUAGGCUUUGUGUGUUGAUCAUCUUGAUUUACUCUUUGUCUGAGAUCUUGAUCAACCAUGUGUCUCUAUGACCAUUCUUUGGAUAAUACCUUGGAUACCAUCUUGGUCAUCAUAUAAACUCCUUGAACCCAACAGAUGGACUUCAAGANNNNNNNNNNNNNNNNNNNNNNNNNNNNNNNNNNNNNNNNNNNNNNNNNNNNNNNNNNNNNNNNNNNNNNNNNNNNNNNNNNNNNNNNNNNNNNNNNNNNAAGCUUCAGCAAAUGUGCGUGCAGAGAAAGCGAUGCCAAGCAGCCGUGCGAUACUGCGGGAUGAAGCUGCGCGAGGCGGCAAGAUCGUGUGAUGCGGCAAGCGUUUGGGCAGUUGAAUUCUGACCGGCUAAGCAAUUAGUUGAAGCCAUGAGAAUUGGUAUGAUAUCGAUAGUUAGUUAGUGUGUUAGCUGCAUGCAUGUGGUGGCCGGCCGGGUCAUGCGUUAUUGGUCGGUGUGUGGUGUGCAUAUAUGCAUGGACUUAGUGUGUGCGCCAGUUAGAGGAGAGGUAUCUGGUUUCGUGUGGCUCAACAAACCAACAACAACUUACAACUAAACUUAUCAAUGGACUGAGAUAUCCCAUGGAGGUACCCAACUUGUCCCUUAUAUAUAUGAACCCGGCCUUAGCCAUGUCCAUUGAAGGAUAUAGACAUCUUAGUAGCUGCUAGCAUAUCCCACACUACUCACCAUAACAAUGUCAAUUAUGUUCUACUUGUUCAUCUACACAACACUCGUGCUGCUUGUUCUUCCCAUGUACUACUUGUACUUCAGGGCUAGUUGUAGAUCAAAGAACCCAGCAGUGCUCCCAAAAACUGGCCAAUAUUGCACAUGUUCCCUUCCUUCGUGGCCAACCUCCACAACAUGAAUGACUAUUUCACCCUGGUCCUCGCCCGAUCAGGCCACAACUUCAGGGCACACGGCCCACCCGGGACCGGGAUGCGGUUUUUCAUCACAUGCGAUCCUGCCAACAUCCGGCACAUCUUCACGACGAACUACACCAACUUCCCCAAGGGUGCGGAGUUCGCCGCAAUCUUCGACAUCAUGAGCGGCGGCAUCUUCACCAUCGACGGUGAGCCAGCUCAUCGGCAGCGCGCGAAAAUCAAGAGCGUGAUCAGCAACCCACGGUUGGUUGCAAGGAUGGAGGCUUGGUGCCGCGACAAGGUGGAGAACAACCUCCUCCCGUUAUUUACGCAAAUGGCGAGCACCAGCACUUGGUUCAAUAUGCAAGAUUUGAUGUCAAGGUUAAUGUUUGACCUUGCUGCUACGCCUCUGUUCGGUGUGGACCCCGGCCUUCUAUCUUUGGACAUGCCUCCCAAUGAAGCCGCGGUCGCCAUGGACACAGUCAUGGAGGUGGCAUAUUUUCGGCUCGUGGUGCCGACUUCUUGUUGGAAGUUGAUGAGGCGGCUAAACAUCGGCCCUGAGAGGAAGCUCAAGGCAGCACACAAGGUGCUGCGUGGGUUUGUUGUGGAGAUGAUGGAGAGGAGGAAGAUUAACACAUCUUCUGUUGGUAACGACGAGCAACAUGAGGGUGUUGAUAUAAUGUCUUCCUUCCUCAACGAUCCCUACUAUACCGAGGAUGACAUGUUCAAUGCAUUGACCAUUAGCUACAUGCUCGCUGCAAGGGACACCGUUGGAACGGCCCUGACAUGGAUUUUCUACAACCUUGCUCAGAACCCAAAUAUUGUCUCAAUCAUCCGCAAUGAACUCUCACCGAUUGCAUCACGCAAAGUAGCGGCCCAUCCAGAUGCCAUGGUGAUCUUUGAGCCGGACGAGACCAAAUCUCUAGUCUAUCUGAGAGCUGUCUUGUACGAGACUCUCAGGUUGUACCCACCAGCCCCUCUCGAGCGCAAGAUGGUGGCGGCCAAUGAUAUCAUGCUGAGUGGUCAUGAGGUGCAUGCCGGUGACACCAUCUUUAUCUCUCUCCACUCCAUGGGAAGAAUGGAGGGUAUAUGGGGUAAAGACUGCCUCGACUACAAUCCAGAUAGGUGGCUCUCGGAGGAUGGCAACAAGCUGAGGUACGUACCAUCUCACAAGUUCUUGACCUUCAACUCGGGUCCGAGGAUGUGCCUUGGCAAGGACAUCGCGGUUAUGCAGAUGAAGACCGUCAUUGCCUCAACGUUGUGGAACUUCGAUUCGAGAUAAUGGAAGGGCAAUGCAUCGAGCCUAAGUCAUCUUGUAUACAGGAGAUGAAAAACGGGCUCAUAUUUAAGCUAAAGAAGCGAGAAAUGUAACAUUAGAGCAAGUCUAAUAAGGCAUACUCAACAGACUAUACCAAUAGAAAGUGCCAUCUCAUUUAAAUCCUAGGUGGAAGGAAGAGAAAGACGGAGAGAGAGUGAAGCGGAUGCUAAAUCUGUAGUCAGGGUGUAGCACAAGCUACGAGGCAGAAGAGCUGGCUUGCAGCAUGUGCAAGCGGUAGAGCCGGCUCUUAGUCUUCUCAUCCAAUCAUGUGCGUUUUUCUGCUUUCUUCAUAUGCAAGAAUUAAAAUGCUAUAGCCAACUUUAGUAUGCAAUCUAAAGCCAGUCUAUUAUAUGAGAGUGUUCUUUUUUACCAAGGUUGUAGGUGGCAUGGCACAUGUAUAGAGCCGGCAGCGGACUUUCUUAUAAUCCACGUUCUUAGACUUUGAUCUUAUGUAAACUUGCUUACGAACGACGAGAACAGUUUUAUGUUGCCCACAAUCACAUUACUUAUAUAUCGAAUAAUAGAAGCAUCCAUGAAGCAAAAUUUAUCUGAACAACCAACGUGCUGCCAUUUAUUACUCCAUUGUAUUACCUCUGUACCAUAAUAUAUGACGAGUAUGAAGACUGAAAACUGAGAGUAUGAAGACUUUCAAAACACAAAAGACACUAACAAAAUGAACUAAAGUGACUAAAUCUUAAAAAUGAUUGGUAGACAAGAAGAAAACAAAGAAAAUUUAUUUUAUUGAGAAUGAAAAAAUGACAGAGAUAAUAAUAAUAAGAAUGAGAGAAUAAUGACAGAGAAUAGAUGACACUAAACAUGAUUUAAGCAGAAAAAGGAAACUGAAAAAAAUUGAUAAACAGAAAGACAAACUCCUCCUAGAAAAACUGAAAAAAUGAAGACUAAACAAUGAACAAACUGAAUAUUGAGAAAUAACUGGAAAAAAUGAAAACUAAAUAAUGAACAAACUGGAUAUUGAGACAUACACUAAACUCUAAAGACUGAUGAAACUGAAUAAGAUUGAGCAAACUGAAGAGAGACAAAUGAAGAAACUGAGAGAAACUAAUGAAACCAAAAUAAUGUGAAACUAAAUAAGACUGAAUAAAGAGACUGAAAACAUCAUAAAAGGAAACCUAAAAGAAAAGGUGGACCGAAAGAUGAACAAAGACAAAACAUCUGAAAUAAUGAUAAUAGAGAGAAAGACUCAAGAAGAACCAAAUACUGAACAGUGAACAAUGAACUCUGAUGGAUGUUUGGAACUGAAGAAAAUGACACCUACCACUGAAACUACAGAAAAAAAACGAUGAAAAGGCACAUAACACUCAAGCUAUUGACCAAACUGAAGGAAAUGACACCUACACUAAACUAACUGAAAAAUUAUAGCCUUAAAAAACGAAGACUAAAGAAUGAAAUAAUUGUACACACAAACUGUGAAACUGUGACGAUGAGAAAUCGAAUAUCUAAAAGUGAAGGAACUCUGAAAAAUUGAAAGAAACAUGCACUUAAGAUGAUUGAAACUGAAAAUGACAUAAUGAGGAAUAUAGAAGAGUAGAAAUGAGAUAAUGAGAAAUAAAUAAGGCGAGGACCGGCGAAGAGGGGAGAAGCUCACGGUGCCUUGCUCGCGGGUCGCGUGGACCGGCGACUCGCACUCGAUGGGAGAGACGCUGGCCGCCCCCGCCGCUAACCGAUGGUUAUCGUCCCUCAACAGCAUGCCCACUCUCGUCGGCGCAACUCGCCUCCUACCGCAGUUUGCCGACAACUUCGCUUCCUCCACCGCCUACUCAUCCUUUUCCUGUUAUGGUGGGACAAACGAAGGGACAGCAGCACCCUGUCACUAAAACGCACUAAAAAUACAAGAAAUCGACUGAAUUGGCCACAUCCACGAUUAGAUUCAGGAAAAGAAAUCGGACGGCCAAAAAAUUCGACCUGAAGCCAAAUUGAAAUCAGCCGACUUAAAUUUAGUAAAAGUGUAUAAAAAUAUUGAACCAUUCAUCUUGAUGGUCAAACUAUAGAUGUAGCCAAUUAAGGAGAACUUCCAUGGAUUAUUUGAGUCAUAUGAAGAUGAAACAACUACAAAAGAGUACUUUUUAGGUGUUUCAAAAAAGUACUUAGAUCCACCCUGGUAUAGGUUAACUUCAAUGUGUUUAUCGAGGUUUCCGUGAGCAUAUAUUCAAAGCAAAGCACUCGCUCCAUCUCCUUAGCGAAGACGAGUUCAUCCUUGUGCUUCGUGUACUUAUGAUGAGACUCAAAUCAACAGCCAAUUAGCCACACAACAUUUUUGUGGCGUACCUCAUGAAGGUUACGUGAUUUUAUUUUUGAAUUUUGUUUACUAUAUUUUGCAUUUACUAUUCACUAGUAAACAUAUCAAGGAGAUAUUUCACAGGUCGCACCUCACCUGGGCCGGCCCAUUUUGCAGUGGCACGUUCGCAAGGUGGAAAAAUGACCAAAAAAUAGGGUUUCAAACCCGAGAACUCGAGAUGAGACGCGCAUGGUGCUAGAUGCUCCGACCGACAAGCUCAUGUGCUAGGUAUGCAACACCACAUUUAAAGAAACAAUCAAAAACAGCAAAAUAUAAAUGUUUACAAAAUUUCCCAAAGUAUAAGCAUAGUAACACCUAGGAAUUGGUAACUAAAAUGGCAGCCCGGUGCAUAAGAACUAUAGGCCAGAACAGAGUUAAAUUGUUUUUUAGAAAUUUUCAACAUCAAUUUCUUUUUGAAAAUUGUAAAUAUUUUUUGAAAAAAAACAUUUUCAAAUUUGUUAAAAAGCAUUUCAUGAAAAUACAAAUAUUUUUUGGGUUUCUCAGACAUUUCUCGGGAAAAAGUAAAAAAAUAAAAAUGAGAAUACUUUUUAAAAUCAUGAACAAUCUUUAAAAAACGUUUUAUGAAAAACAGAAAAAAUGAAAACACAAACAAUUUCUGAAAUUGGCAACAAAAUUACCAAAACACCAAUACUUUUGAAUUUGCAUAAAUAAAAUUUAAUUCAUGUACAUCUUCUUAGUAUGUGAACAAAUUUGGAAGAGGUUGAACAUUUUCUGACAUUCCUGAACAUUUUUUGAAUUCGUGAACAAAAUCCGAAAACGCAAACACUUUUGAAAACUACGACCAAGUAUUUCAAAACACAAACAUUUUAUGAAAAGUCCAGGAAUAUAUUUCGAAUUUGUGAACAAAACCUGAAAAUAUAAACAUGUUUUGAAUAUGUAAAUAAAAUGAAAAAAAGGAAUAUUUACUGAACUUCCUAAGCAUUUUCUGAAUUUGUGAACAAAAAUUUAAUAACAUGGAUAUUUUUAAAAUUACGAACAUUUAUUUUAUAAAACCAUAAGGUUUUAUAAAAUUACCCAAAUAUUUUAUGAAUUUGUUAUUUCUUUAAAACUUGUAUAUCUUUCAAUGUGUGAAUUUGUUUUCAAAAGUUUGCACAUUUUCUGAAAUUCCCUAUCAUUUUCUGAAUGUGUGAACAAAAAUAAAAAAUGCAAAGUAUUUUUUCAAAUUUAUCAAACAUAUUUUAAUCUUCAAACUAAUUUUCAAGAACACGAAUAUCUAUGAAACUUUUCAACAAAUUUUCAAUGUACGGAUAUUUUUCGAAAUUCAUGAACAUUUUCUUAAUUUCUGAACAAAAGCUUAAAUUGCAAUCAUUUUUUAAUUAAAAAUUCUAUUAGUAUUGGAUUUUCAUACAUUUUUCUAAAAGAAGCGAACAAUAUUUGAGAUUUCUAAAACAUAAAUCAAACGAGGAACAUUGUUAAAAAAAUAAUACACCCUCUCCUCCGAAAUAAGUGACUCAACUUUGUAAGUUUAGUACAAAGUUAAGUCACUUAUUUUUGGACAGAGGAAGUACUUCCUUUUUUUAUUGUUUAUCUUUUUCUUUUCUUUCCUUUUUUUUCUCCUUUUGAAGUAUAUUUUCUUUUCUCCAUUUUUUGAUGGGGCUCCAUGCAACUCCGGUGAAGCUCCACUGCAGCGUCAGUUAUGCUUCAGAUACCUCGACGUUGCUCCACUCCAACUCCAGCGAUGUAGCGGUUAUCCUUGCUACAACUCCGACUCACAGCACAGCAAUUGCGGCCAUGGUGUUGGACGCAACGGCGGUGCUUCAUGGGAGUUGCGGGGACCCCCUCUCAAUCUUGGAGCAUCGCGGUUGUUUGCGACGGGUGAUAACCCACAAAGUAUAGGGGGUCAAUUGUAGCCUUUCUCGAUACGUAAGAGUGUUGAACCCAACGAUGAGCUAAAGGUAGAAAAGAUAUUUUCUCAAGUUCUAUCGACCACCGAUACAACUCCCGCAUGUUUAACGUUCGCUUUAACUAGAACAAGUAUGAAACUAGUACUUUGUAUGUGUGAUAGGAUAGGUUUGCAAGAAAAUAAAGAACGCGUAAUUAAAAACUAGGGGUUGCUUAGAUAAAGAAACAACUAAGUUUGUCUUAGUAGAGAUCUUUUUGUCACAAGAAGGUUAUUUGUCCAUAGACAAUCGAUAACUAGACCGGUAAUCAUUAUUACAAUUUUAUAUGAGGAAGAAGCAUAAGCUAACAUACUUUCUCUACUUGAAUCAUAUGCACUUAUGAUUGGAACUCUAGCAAGCAUCCGCAACUACUAAAGAUCAUUAAGGUAAAACUCAAUCAUAACAUUAUCAGGUAUCAAGUCCUCUUUACUCCCAUAUGCAACAACCCACCUACUCGGGUUUAUGCUUCUGUCACUCAAGCAACCCACCAUAGGCAAAUCAUGAACACAUUUUAACACCCUACAGCGGGGAUCCCUCAUGCUUGCACGACACGGAGAACACCAUAGGACAGCACCAAUAAUAAAACAUGCAACUCAAACCAAUCAUGAUCAUCAAUCAACCCAUAAGACAAAACGGAUCUACUCAAACAUCAUAGGGUAGCCAUACAUCAUUGGGAAAUAAUAUAUAGCAUUGAGCACCAUGUUUAAGUAGAGAUUACAACAGGGAGAAGGGGUGUUACACCGCUGCAUAGAGGGGGAGAGAGUUGGUGAUGACUGCGACGAAGUUGUUGGUGUAGAUCGUCGUCACGAUGAUGGCCCGACGACGUUUCAGUGCCAUCGGGAGAGGGGGAGAGAGCCCCCUCCUUCUUCUUCUUCCUUGCCCCCCCCCCCCUACGAUGGGAGGAGGGUUUCACCUCUGGUCCUUGGCCUUCAUGGAGGUGGAGGGGCGCUCGCCCCUCCGAGAUUGGAUCUCUCUCUGUUUCCAUCUGUUUCUGCGUUUCUCUCUGUCCCAGAUUUUGACGUUUCACCGUUUCUUAUAUUCUCGGAGAUCCGUAACUCCGAAUGGGCUAAAAUUAUAACACGAAUUUUAUCCGAAAAUUAGCUUUCUUGCGGCGAAAGAAGGGCACCAACCGCCUUACGGGGUGAACACAAGCCAUCCGGGCGCCCCUACCCCCAGGUGGCGCCCCUAUGGCUUUUGGGCCCUUCGGGCACCGCCUUCUGUUGAUUACACUUCCCAAAGUUCAUAUAUAUUCUUAAAAAAAUCUCCGUAAGUUUUUAUCCCGUUUAGACUUCAUUUGAUAUGAAUUUUCUGCGAAACAAAAACAUGCAACAAAUAGAAACUCGCAUUGGGCACUGGAUCAAUAUGUUAGUGCCAAAACUAGUAUAAAAAGUUACCAAAAUUAUAUAAAAGUUAUAGAAUAUUGCAUGAAACAAUCAAAAAUUAUAAAUACGACGGAGACGUAUCAACGGGAUGCAGCAGCGGUGGGCUCCGGCGUCGAGGUUCUAUAAUGUGGGAUUGCAGCUGUGGGCGCAAACCCGACGCAGUCUCGUGGUAUGGUCGCCGGAGCAAAACGACACCAGUGGCAGAGGUGCUCCAAAAAUCUGUCCCAACGAGCUACAGCACGUUGAUGCUAGGACCGUGGCGCUCGCGUGAUGAUGUGGAGGACGAUGAGGUGCUCGGCGAGGUCCAGCAGUGGCAGCUGGUGCAGCUCGUGUAGUGUUGCAUCUGAGGGAGAGACAGAAGAAUAAGAAAGGUAGGAGACGACUGUCGCUCGCAAGAGAUAAGGCAAAAGGAAUGAGUAGCCAAUUAGAUGCACUACAUAGUGGUGGUGUACCUCAUGAAGGUUACGGAACACACUAUGCAAUUGCCAAUUGGUUAUCAUCAAGCCCCUGCAACUGACGAAGCUUCUUGACGGCUUAUCCUCCGUGAAUCGUACCCAACCGUUGCUACUGUUUCUUCUACCUUCUGUCGCUGUCGACGUCAUUCUGCCUCGUCUUAUGUGGCCUUAAGGCCAUGGAGGCGUAGUGGAUCCCGGCCGUUCCGGGUGGAGGGCUUCGUUUUUUGAUGAUUUUCUGACUUUUCUUAGGAUUUAUAUCUUGUUCAGAGAGAUGAGGCUGCAGCUUCCUGAAGAUGGAAUAAGGAUCUUUCCGCCUAGCCUCCGUCCCUUUGGUGUUUAUAGCGUCAUCGGCGGGUGUGUGGAGGUUUCUCAUCGACAGAUCUUGAGGGAUUCGGUCGGCGUUUGUCUUCGGUGGAUCAACGUGGAUCCGGUAUUCGUCCGCCUGCGUUCGUGUGUCUACAUGUUGGAUCCUUCUGAUUUAAGCUUCUGUUUAACAGCGGUGGUUGUUGUUCUUAUGCGUUGAUCCUAUAGGGAAUGAGCAUGAUGACUUUCCGACUGUUUAUUACGACAAGUUUUGCCCGGCUUUAGUGAGGGAGCGAUGAUGACAGCGGCACGUCUUCGACUUGCUUCAAUACUUAUAGUCAUCGUUAGGUGGUCUACGGAUCUGAAAAUGAUUUUUAUUAUUUUUUAUAUUCGUUGUACUAUCAUAAUUGAUGGUGAAUAGAUUGGAAGUUUCCCGCAAACAUAUCUCAUGCCCUUCAUGGGUCGCCUGACAAAAUCAAUCACUUAGGCCCGGUUUGAAACCACAAUAAAUUAUGAUAAUAUGGAUUAUGAAGAUAUAUUAUAUAAUCAGGUUUAUAAAAAUAAUGUAGGUGGACAUGUUUGAAGGCCAGAUUAUAUAAACUGUAAUCCAGGUUUUUUACAUUGCAUAAUGACCUGUCUGCCUUGUGCGCGCGCCGAGGAGAAAAAAAGGAAGAGGGUGGUGGUGACAGAAAUUAGUAAUUACCUCCAACUUUACAAAGAUAAUGGGUCAUUAGUAAUCCAUAAUUUGGUUUUAUCUGGGAUAGAGUAGAUUGCGAGUUUCUAAUAAUCUGUCUGUCUAGUUUUUAUAAUCUACAACAUAAUCCGUCCUGUUUGAAGACAAUAUAGAUUAUAAAAAUUGGAUUAUGAUAAUCUGAGUGGUUUCAGACAGGGCCUUAAUCACGGAACAGAUCUUGACUAGUACUGUGAGAAGUAUAGAUAGGAAUUAGAAUGAUUAGUCCAUCUUACCCUGUAAACAUCUCCAUACCCGCCGGUACCAACAACUUUUUGAUCCUCUACAAAGUCGUUUGCGAUAGCUUGGAUCACUUGGAGUUUGAUGAAAUCCAUGCAGGGUCUAUCUCCCACCCAGGCUAACAGGACGAACUUCUUUUAUCAAUGAGAAAAACAAAUUAAUGGUAUGCAACAUCGUUGAACGUAGAAGGAGGAUGGUCAAGAGUUCAGAGAUUUUCGGGUGAAGAAUUGCUACCGGAAAAAGAAUAUAUGUGACGUCAUUUGGAAAAUGAAUAUCCCGGAUUCAGAGGCUGGAAACAGAGAAGUCUAUGGGACGUCAUUUCGAAAAUGAAUAUCCCGUUGGAAACAGAUCAGCAUAUGUGAUGUCAUUUGGAAAAUGAAUAUCCCUGGCUCAGAGACUGGAAACAGAAGUAUAUAUGUGACGUCGUUUGGAAAAUGAAUAUCCCGGACUUAGUGGCUGGAAACAGAAGUAUAUAUGUGACGUCAUUUGAAAAAUGAAUAUCCGGCACUUAGAGGCUGGAAACAGAAGUAUAUAUGACGUCAUUCGGAAAAUGAAUACCAUGCGGUUUUAGCAUGCACAAAGAGUAGGUAAAGCCCUGAUGUUCGAUAUGAGGAAAAAUGGGAGCUCCCUGAUGAACAGGAUUUCGGCUACACUGGGACAGAUUAAUUGGUUGCAGAUUCUGCUUGACAAAUAACAUGACUCGGAUAUGAGAAGCAAGAUGUUUUUGCUCAUGUGGCGAGCCUGGUUCUUACGUGAUGACUGCAUACGCCAUGAGGAAAAGGAAUCAGUAUCAAGGUCUGUUUUGUUCCUGAAUCCUGACAGGGUACGUACAUGUGGAAGAAAUUAAAACCCUAUCUAUUCCAGGUGGUGGGAUUAUCGGAAAAAGCUGCUGGCUGAUCCACGGGUUGAAGUGGUCAAAAUCAACUCAGACGCGGCGUUUUUGGAAGAAACCGGACAAUGUUGGGCCGGAGCUGUCUCUAGAGACCACCAUGCAUGGUCAAGUAAUUUUCUCUGAAUCUAGGGCGAUGAACGCAUGCACAACUGUUAAAUGUUAAUCAAAAUUUUGAGAAAAAAAUUGUUGAUUAAGUUUUUAAAAAAUGUUAAAUGUGCAUAGUUAAAAUGUUGACCGUGUAUUAAAAAGAUGAUGAUUUUUUUAUGAUGUAUAUAGAAAUGUUAAUCAAGCAUUUGAAAAAAUGCUGGUUGAUCAUGUAAUAAAAAGAUGAUGAUUUUUUAUCAUGUAUAUAUAAAAUGUUAAUCAAGCAUUUGAAAAAAUAUGUUGAGCAAGAUUUUAAAAACUGUUAAUUAAGCAUUUGGAAAAGGUUAAUCUUGUAUUUCAAUUUUUGUAUCAAUUUUUUUAAUACAACUAGAUCAAAGGAAAAGGUUAAUUUUGUAUUUCGCAUUUUAAAAAUAUAUUUUUCUCUUUCUCUCUCUCUCUCUCUCAAAGAUCAAAGAAAAAAAAAACAAUCCUCUUCCUCUGCUCCUUGUACUAGUGUCCGGCCAACAGCAGACGGCGGCGAUGGCGAGGAGACGAAUGGCGGGCAAGCAGGAAGACGCCCGCUCGAAGAAAUCGCACCGCUGCAAAGACGUACAGGUUCGCACGCCCGCCUGGUGCUUGUGUUUAUUCCCACAAGGUUCGUUCCACUGCGAGCGACCUCGCCCUGUCACGGACACUCCAGAUUUCGUGUCCUUGAUUCUUCACCGACACCCUCGCUCGCCUCCGGCCGGCCUCUACCUCAAGCUGAGGUGGGAUAUAUAGCAUGAUCAGAGUGGCAACAUGCAUGCAUGCGGGUCACCGGGAAAUUUGAACUUAUGAUUCAUAUUCAGUGCAGGAUGUCCAACUGUACAACCAUAAACUGGUUCUACUGACAUACUGCUGAAGGACAUAUAUAUAUAUAUAUAUAUAUAUAUAUAUAUAUAUAUGAGAGUGUUUAUUAACUAGGAGGAGUCGAAGAGUAAGUACGUACGUAGUAGGCUCAGAGCUUCCCAAUGACAUCGAGCAUGGCUGCCCGUGGUGUGCACAGCGCCUCCAGGGGCACCGCCUUGGGAAGUGUCAUCCCGUCCCCUUCACCCAUGUCCACCGGGGCGUCGCCGACCCUGUCCCAAUGGAAGCACUGCAGCAGCGUGCCGAGAACCAGCCCCAGGACGUGCAGCGCGAGGGCCUCCCCGGGACACUUGCGCCUCCCCAUCCCGAACGGCAUCAUGAACAGCCCCUGGGCUCUCCUCCCCUCGAACCUCUCCGGCCUGAACAUGGCCGGGUCCUCCCACGUCGCCGGCUCCCUGUGGAUGGCGUACACGUUGACGAGUAGCAUCGUGCCCCUGGGGACGUCGUAUCCCCCGACCGUGCAGUCCGCGGUCGACUCGUGCGGGAUCAGCGUCGGAACGCCCGGGUACAGCCGGAGUGUCUCGCUGAUGAUGCAGUGGAGGUAGCGGAGCCGGGGCAGGUCGUCGGCGUGGAGGAGGCGGGUGGUUCCGACGCACGCGUCCAUCUCGGCCUGCGCCUUGACCAGAGUGUCCGGGUGGUUGAGCAGCAGCGACAUCGCCCAUUCCAGCGUCGUGGCCGUCGUCUCUGUGCCCGCACUGAACAUGCUCUGCGUAUAUACAAAAGCCAAAACAUCGUAACAAGAGAAGGUCGCUGAUGUUUGACAACAUUGGAAACAUCGAUCAAUCAAAGAGAUGCAUGUUUACCGCGCAUAGAGCCAAGAUCAUGUUAUCGGUGUAGGUCUCCGGCUCCGUUUUCUGCAAGGAGAGCAGCCGGGCGAUCAUGCUCUUGUUUGUGCUCUCGCUCAUGCUGUCCAUCCUCCUGAGCCGCUCCAUGUCGAUGAGCCUCUGGAUGAAGGCGUCCCUCCUGCCCACCGCUGCUAGGAGCUUCCUCCUCACACCAAACACGUCCAACCACCAUAGCACCGGCGGCAGGAAGUCCCACGUGUUGGCUGCGCCCAUCAACGGAAUGAUCUCGUCCAUCCACUCCUUGAGCUCUUGGGCCUCCGGCGACAUGUCCAUGUCCACAUCCGCCUCCGCGCGGGACGUCCUCGUCUGUGCGAUGGUCUCCAUCAAGGCGCUGACCGAGACCUCGAAAAUACUCCUCUUCAGUUUCACUAGUGCGGCGCCGGCGCCGGCGCCGGCGCGUGCCAGUCGCGACACCAUCGCGUGCACCUCCUUGGCGAUAUCUCCGGAGAUGCAUCCCACCCGGUGCGCGGAGAGGAGCUCCACGGUGGCGACGCGGCGGAGAUGUCGCCAGUACGCGCCGUAGGGGCACGUCGGGAGGUCGGUGCAGCUGAAGGACACAACCAUCAAUGAGGGGAACUGUGGGCGGCUGGCGAAGGUAACGUCAUGUUCCGUGAAGCACUGCUUGGCGCACGCUGCCGAGCACACGGCCACGACAUGGCGUGAGCCAAGGCGAAGGGAGAAGACCGGACCGUAGCGGCCGGCGAGGCGGGCAAGAGUGGCGUGGAGCGGCUUCUCAAUGAGGUGGAGGUGGCCCAAGAAGGGGAUGGCAGCAGGGCUUGGCGGCAGCCGUAGGCGGAGGCGUGUGCGACGUAGGCGGAGGAGUGGGAUGCUCAAGAGGAAAAAGGCCACAACGCCGGCGGCGCCGUAGGCGGUGACGGUGUCCAUUUAAUUUAGUUGGAACUUGAAAGUUGGAUGGUCUCGCUAUUUGGCGUCGCUCAUGUGCCUCAGAAGCACCCCCCUAGCUCAGAGGUACGUAGCUACUUCCUGUCAUUUACAUAAGAGAAAUUUUAAGAUGGAUACAGUUAAUACCAGCCUCUUUUUGUGUAAUCCAGUGGCUGGUAUUAUUAAUUUUCCAUAACUUGUAUUAGGUAAAAUUAGCACCAUGAUCUGAUUACAUCUUCAUUACCUUUGUCUUUAGGGAUUACAUCGCUAUUGCCUUCCUUAGUUAGCAGAUAUGAUGUAUCUCCGGAUACGAUAUACUAAUUUAACACAUGAUUUGAUUACAUCAUUUUUUACCUUUUUAGGGAUUACAUCAUCAUUACCUUCCUUAUUGAGCAGGAUAUGAUAUGAUAUAUUCCUUAUUUAGCACCAUGAUUUGAUUACAUCACCAUUACUUUUUUUUAAUGGAUUACAUCAUAUAUUACCUUCCUUACUUAUACGAAUAGAGAAGUCAAAUUAACCACACAAACACUACGAAAAAAUACAUCUUGCCACAUUUUGGCAUAAGCCGAGUGUUAUAUCUCGGGUACUCGGCUUAGCCUGUCUUUAUGGUCAUCUUUCAGGUAUUAAUAUGGGGAAGUAAAAGCAGAAUCCACAGUGUGUUUUUGCUUCCAUGAUAUAUAAAAUGAUAUAUAUAUCAUGUGAUCCUUUCGCCUCUUCUUUUCUGAAAUAGCUAUUGUCGAUUUCAACAUGACAAGAAAUAGCAAAAUCUGUGAUGUUGCUUAUGUUUAAUUUUUAUAUCAAGAUUGCAAGAUUGUUUUCAAUUUUUAGAAAUACUGUUGUUAAUGUUGGAUGCUUGCAUUUCCAGCAUGAAGAUAGCUAAUCCACAGUGUGUUAUUUAGAAGAAUGCUUGCAUUUCCUGCUUACUGAUAGACAGAGCAGCUAGUUCGUUAUUUGGAUAUAGAGUUUAUUUCAUAUGCAAAGUGCAGCUUUUUUGUGUCCUUAACUCCUUAUGUUCACUUCCUAGACUGGAAACUGUCUUGCAUGAUUGUAUUUAUCAUUCUGCUCUUGUUUUUUUAUCCUAACCUAUAUUUUCUGAAAUAUAUAGAAUUGUAUGUUCUUGUGUGCUGAAGUGAGUAAAGUUAACUAUUUUAAGCUUUGAUUCAAGUGCCCAGUUUCUUGCUGUAGGGAUGAGAUCAUGGAAAAUGUGAGUAGCUAUAAAGCAUAAAUUAAAGAGAAAACUGUUUGAACAGAGCUGUGUUAAAGGUUCUAUGAAGUUUUGUCAUGGUUUUUGCAGCUGCCAAUGGGUGUUCUUAGUAGAUUCUUAGUAAAUAAUAACAUUAGUUUUGCAUUUUCUUAUGAGUAUUAUCCAGCUACGAACACAUGUUUAAGUGUGAUAUGUGAUCCUAUUUCGUUCCUAGAGCCACAAAGGCCUGGUACUAGACAGAAAAGAGGGUGGCCCUUUUCUUCUUAAUAUAAUCUCUAUGGUGUGUAUGUUUCAAAACAAGAAGCGACUGCUGCCAUAGUAUUUUUUUUUUUACAGUUACGAACUACAUCCUGACAUUCCCUCUGGUUUUUAUUUGCAUCAUGAUGUGAUGCUAGGCAAUGAGUAGGGCACAUAGGAUUGGGCAACACACGGUCAGCAUCUGUUGCUUCGUCACCUGCAAAAGUGUUAAAGGGGAUAUAUUGGAGUGGGCAAAGAAAAAAAAUGGGGCAGAGACCGAAUGCCUUCAUAUGAUCUUUUAAAUACAUGAAUAUGUUUUAACCUAUUUUACUUAUUUAUCUCAGGUUUUCAUCACCUGGUGAUUCAGAAGCUGAAUGCCGGGGGCAGGCUCGACAAAAGAAAGAAACCAGACAAGCUGCCUCCAUGUUUGAUAAGGUAGUAUCUUGCCUAAGCUGUCUUGAUAUGCACAAGUUAGUUUGGAUGGAAACUUUUCUGGGUGUAGAAACUUUGUUAACGACUUGUGAACAAGACAUACAUGGAUGUUUUAAUGUUUUACACCGACUUGCAUUUUUGUUGUUGUUGCAAUAUAGCUUGUAGCUUUAGUGCAGUUUCAUUGACUUCCAUUAUAGCAUGCGUUUUAAUUACUUGCUACAUACCUUAGGAAGAAACAAAAUGCUAAUUGUUACAUAUUACUGUACAUGGUUACAAAUUAAGCUCCCAACCUCAAAUUGAUGUAGUCUUAUCCUUCUGAUACUUAUUAGAGGAGUGGCUGGGAUUAAUUUAUGCAGUUGAUUCCUGAUGGUUUUGCUAACAUGGCGAAUUAGUCAAGAGAAAAUUUCGAGCAGAGCAGAAUACUUGGACAUAACUUGUAAGUCUAUGGUUCGUUCUGAGUUUAUGUUCGUUGUAGUAGGAUUGAUAUUAGGUGAAGUUGAAUUUCACUUAUACACAUCAAAAGUCUUCACUGCCCAAUCCAACAAAGUGCUAAUCAAUCUUCUUAUGACCUGUGAGGUGUUUGUAUUAACUCAGCAAGCUAGGCAGUCUGCAUAGUUUUGUGUAUUAUCAUUGCACUUGAUUUUACAAUUUGUUUUUUAUUAUGUCUUUGUUCAGUAUAUAAGUUAUCCUUGAUGAAUAAAAGUCACACACAGAUGUUGCUUGUCUCUUAAUUCCAUCUACUAGUAAUUAGAUGAAUUUGACUGAGUAUUCUUGGCGGGUCGAUAUGGAAGUGUGUACCAUUUUAGGAAUGAAUUUGACUGAGUAUUCUUGUGUUGCUUUCCUUAUUUGCAGAGACAAAUGUCGGUGGUUAUGAUAGAGCGUGCGGAGACAACAACUUUGUUACUCUCCGACAUUUAUUGUUGGUUGUAGACUUAUCCCAUUCACUGAUCAAUUUGCACAUAUUUUAUUGUAGUUGUUUCAAGGACUAAACCUAAGUCGUCACUGCCCCUAAAAUCUUCAUCAACCCAUAGUAAUUAAAUUCUAAUGCCCGAUAACUGCAGAAUAAUCAAAAUACUAAGUCCCUAAUUAACUAACUCUCAUUUUAGCAAUCCAAUUACUGUGAUGGAGUCUUGCCCGAUUAUCAAACUUUGUAUUGAUAAUAGAUGUUAGUUAAAUAUGAACAUAUAUAUUGAUAAGAGAUCAAGGUACGAAAAGCAAUACGUGUGGGAAGCAUAAGCAUAAUCUAGAGAAGAGAAAAAUCCAUAGAUUUCAUACCUAGGAACUCGCCUUCCUUCUUGACGCUCCUUGAUUACUUCAGGUGCUCCUUGCUGUUUUUACCUCCAGAACUAACUAUGUUAGCUGGUAAGCUAUCUGUGAUGGACGAGGGGUGAGGGGUGAGGGGUGAGGAGGGAGGGGGAGAAGGGAGGCUAGAGGAGGUUCACAUAUAUAUGAGGGCGAUGCGGCGGAGAUUUUUUUUUCCUACUCUUUUCUUUUCCCCUCAAUGUACAUUUAUUUAUAUAUGGGCAACCUUGAUUGCCCUGUUUAUAACAGAUUACAUAGAAAUACAUGUGAUACUGAGGAUCAAUCUACACAACUGUAUAGGAAUGAAUCCUAAUCAAAUCAAUCAGCCAUAACUACAUGAUAAUGACAUGAUUUGCUGUUUAAGAGAGGGAGAGAGGGAGGGAUGAUUACAGCACGGGCAGAAGAAGGGAUGCAGAUCUUUAACGUAGCACUACCCACCGUUCUCUCACUCUGGCCAUGGCGACAACCUUUCCGGAUGCUACAUGCUCGUCGUAGGCAACAUGGUAAUUGUGAUCUAUCCCGUCACCUGAAGUCACUUACUUGAUGAAGAUUUGGAUUACUUGUUCUUUUCUAACUCGGUUUCGUAAUAAAUAAGUUCUUCUACAUUCCGCUAUUUCACGGGACUUUGCAAUUGCAUGCAUUCCCUCAAUGAGCCGUGCGAGAUGCCGAUGGUGGCGUGAUGCGGGGCGGCAUGCAAGGUCGUGUGAUGCGGCAGGCGCGUGGUUGAAUUCUGACCGGCUAAGCAAUUAGUUGAAGCCAUAAGAAUUGAUGUGCUAGUUAGUUAGUUAGUUUGUUAGUUGCAUGCAAGUCUGUUUGCCGUGCAUGUGCAGGUGCUGGCCGGGUCAUGUGUUAGUGGCCGGUGUGAUGUGCAUGCAAGUUAGCUAGUGUGGGUCAUGCGUGCGUGUGGGACUUAGUGGCCGAAUGAGACGGUGUGGAAGAAGAAGAAGAAGGGCAGCUGAUCCAAACAGUUGUGUUCUUGUUCUUGUUCUUGUGAGAGGUGGUGUGAGGAAGAAGAAGAAGAAGAAGGGGAGCUGUGGACCUGCUCCAACAACAGUAAACCCAGACAUGUGAAUGUAUUAUGUACUGUGCGUACCAAGGAUGAAAAAGAAGCUGACCUGGCUGUUUUGCAGGGCGUGUGGUUAACGUCAUGACCUCUGGGCCAGAGGCACAACGACCAACGCAGGUACAGGUACAACCAGUUGAUGUGCGUCCAGCAGUUCCAUACACGGUGCGUACACACUACACACAUGCAUGUUGAAUUCACACUGAUGAGCUCACAUAUUUAACCCUGCUUUAUAUUAAAUAUAAUGAUAUGCAUGAUUAUAUAUAUAGAUCAAGGACGAUGAGCAGAAGGAUAUCAUGCCCGACAUGAUUGAUGCCAUCAAAGCACCACUGCGUUCGAUUGGUAGCGGAGAGAUUAAUGUUUCGGCCUAUGACACGGCAUUGGUCGCCCUUGUCAAGAACCAGGACGGGGGUGAGGGGCCACAAUUCCCCUCGAGCAUUGAUUGGAUUGUUCAGAAUCAGCUCCCGGAUGGUUCCUGGGGUGAUAAGCAUUUCUUUUUUAUCCAAGACCGGAUUAUCAACACCCUAGCAUGUGUUGUGGCGUUGGCGACGUGGAACCUUUACGGUCAAAAGUGUGAGAAAGGUACCCAUGUCUAUAUGUCUGUGAUCUUAUUGUUUCUUUAGACCAAUUGUACGUCUUCAUUGUCAAUUCAUUCAGAUAUAUAUCAAGCUGUCAUAUAUAUCUUUCAUUUGGAUUUACUUUUUUUUAAGGUUCUUCUAAGUGCCUUGCUAAUGUAGACAGCUGGGCGGUGUUCCUUUGUAGGUAUGCAUUUUAUUAGAGAACAUAUGUGGAGGUUGGCCGAGGAGACGCCAGAUGACUGGACGCUAAUAGGCUUUGAGAUUACUUUCCCCUCGCUCCUAUGCAUGGCUAAGGAUCUGGAUCUGGACAUUCCGCAUCAUGACCCAGCCUUGGAAGCCAUAUAUGCCAAGAGAAACCAAAAGCUCAAGAUGUACGCAUGUACAGAACCUGCUAAUUAAAUCUCUCUUUUAUAUGCAUGUUUAACUGGCUUCAUGUAACAAACCAAUUAAUCAGCUCACUCUCUGAAAUUGCAGGAUUCCCACAACUGUAUUGCACGCGGUGCCAACGACUCUGCUUUACAGUGUAGAAGGAAUGGUAAACUUGGACUGGAAAAGGUUACUUCAGUUCCGGUGUGCAGAUGGUUCAUUUCAUCAAUCACCUGCUGCAACAGCUUAUGCUCUCAAUCAAACAGGCGACCCAAGAAGCCUCAAGUUCCUUGACAGAAUCAUCAAGAUCUAUGACGGGGGAGGUAAAAACCCUGCUUCGGCUAGCAUUGAAUCGCACCCAUAUGCAUGCAUGUAUGUAUGUUGUUGCCUAGGGGUAUAUGGUAGGUACCCUUCGUCGGUCCAACUCUCUAUAGUUCAACUUAAUGAACACGAAAUGUGAAAUCGGAAUGUCCCCUAAAGGUUACCCAUUUGGGCAGACCUGUCUCCUAAAGACUUGUUUUGAGUCAACUACUCCCUCCCUCCCACAAUAUAAGAUCGUUUUGCAAGCUAUGUUGCCUCGGGAGUAUCUCCUAAAGACUGAAUUUCCAACAUUUAUAUUUCAGCGCCCUGUGUCCACCCUGUCGAUUUGUUCGAGCGCUUAUGGGCGGUGGACCGGUUGAUGCGUCUGGGCAUAUCGCGACACUUCACAAGUGAAAUUGACCAGUGCUUAGAUUAUGCUUACAGGUAACACAUACUGUCAAGCUAUUUAUUCAUUCUAGCUUAGCCCUACUCCUUGCAUUCUAUUUCUGAGAUGUUUUUAUGUAGGAAGCUAAACACGAGCGAAUUUCAUGGUCUGUGUUAUACUUGAACAGGCACUGGACAGAACACGGACUGAGCCACUCAGGACCUUGCCCAACUAAGGAUAUUGAUGAUACCGCCAUGGGUUUUCGCCUCCUCCGUUUGCAUGGCUACUUUGUCUCUCCAUGUAAUUUGACUAGUAAUUAUUUGCCAAACAAUGAAAUACACAUUUUCAUAUACUUUACUGAGGAGUUUGAUCAUGUACGUGCAUGACUGCACUAAUGAACACAUGCAGGCGUGUUUAAGAAGUUCGAAAAGGACGGCGAAUUUGUCUGCUACCCAGGGCAGUCCAACCAAUCCGUCUCUGCCAUGUACAACACAUACCGUGCCGCCCAGAUCGUGUUUCCAGCUGACGAGGAAGACAUUCUUGGGCGGGCCGAGCUCUAUUGCCGCACAUUCCUCCAAGAGAAGCGAGCCUCCAACAAACUGAGUGACAAAUGGGUCAUUUCCAAGGACUUGCCGGGCGAGGUAUGUAUUGUAUGCCCAAUAAAUUCAGGCCCGACGAACACCCUCAAAUGUCAUAGUAAUUCACAUAUACUGGUCUCCUUGUUGUGGGUGAUUUCAUAGACUAGUAUCAUAGUGCAUGAUAUCAUUUUAGUUACUUUCUUAUUGUAUAUAGUAUCAUAAUCUAGUAUCAUAAUGCCACCUUAUUUACUAAUUUGGCAAAUAUCAAUAUAAACUUAUGUACAAAUUUUGUUUAGUACUCCCUCCCUACCAUAAUAUGCUUAUAUAUUUGAUGUACUAUGAUGUUAUGUUGUGGGACGGAGGUAGUAUUAAACUUUGUGCUAUGAUACUUUAUCAUAUCAUGAUACUACUAUUACCUCUCUUGUCCUAUAGUACCACAUAAUUUUUCUUCUUCUUAUGUGACAAUUCAUGGUACCCUUAUGAUCCUUGCACAUUGGGAGGUCUUAGCUGAUACAUGCUUUUGUUGAUGUUGUAAUGCUAACAGGUAGAGUACGCACUAAACUUACCCUGGAGAGCAAGUUUGCCACGGAUCGAAACGAGGUUCUAUCUGGAGCAGUAUGGAGGCAGCAACGAUGUGUGGAUUGGGAAGGUCCUCUACAGGUAAAUAAACCCUGACAUUGUAUACCUAAUUAAUUCACAUAUACUUCCUCCGUUCUUAAAUACUUCCUCUGUCCCAAAAUAACUGUCUCAACUUUGUACUAGAUCUAGUACAAAUUUGUACUAAGCUCAAGACACUUAUUUUGAGACGAAGGGGGUAUAAGUCUUUCUAGAGUUUUCACUAAUGGACUACAUACGGAUGUAUAUAGACAUACUUUAGAUUAUAGAUUCAUUCAUUUUGCUCCGUACGUAGACACCUAAUGAAAUAUCUUAAAAGACUUAUAUUUAGGUACGGAGGGAGUAAGUUUUUUGGCAGCGGAACAUCUUGCAUCCCUUUUAGUCAUAAGUUUUAGCUGGGCGUAAGAGUGUAAACAAGGAAGAAAAUAUUUGUGUGAAUACCAUGGACCAAAAAUUGCAUCCAUGGAUUUACGCUACUCAUGCGAUACGUUUUGGAAUUUGUUUGAGUUGGAUGUAUGGUCAAGGUGCUCCAAGCCAAACUUAUUGAUCAUUGUUUCGUUUGUGUGCUCUUGUCAUGAAAGACAAAAAUGUCACAAUUUGAUGAAAUCAUGAACAACAGCACAACCAUGUUAAAACUUGGACUUAAGACAAAAUCUAGAUGUACACUUAUUCGCGGACGAAGGGAGUAUAGUUGACAUGCUACAUAUCUUAUCGCUAGGAAUGGCAUAACACUGGUUCUCACAAGGAAUGGCAUAACUUCAAAACACACUUUACCCUUUUUAGGUACCCCGAAGUAGUUUUUUUGUGACGUAGUUGACAUGCUACAUAUCUUAUCGCGAAUGCUAGAAACCUUUCAGGAUGCCUCUGUUCUGCAACGAUCUGUAUCUCAAGGCAGCCAAAGCUGAUUUCACCAAUUUCCAAAGAAUGUGCCGACUUGAGUGGUGUGGCCUCAAAAGGUGAGCCUGCCAAUUUCGCAAUAUCAGGAAUUUGUAUGGAUGACUAGUAUGUAAAAGCUAGAUUCUCACUCCUGUGAUCUUUUACGUAUGUAUAAACAGGUGGCAUGACAGGAAUAAUCUGCAAAUGUAUGGCGUGUCUCCAAAUAGCGCGUUGAGAGCUUAUUUCUUAGCUGCAGCAAACAUCUUCGAACCAGAGCGAGCAGCUGAGCGUCUGGGAUGGGCUCGAACAGCGAUUCUUACCGAGGCUGUCUCCUCAAACAUUCAAGACAAUGGUUCAGAUAUGAUACAUUGGCCAACUAGUGAAGUCGCUCGCGACCACCACAAGAAUCUCUCAAGGUUCUGUGUGGCAAACUUCUUUCUUCCCUUUCUUGUAAAGGAUACUAGUUUUGAUCACAGAGAUCAACAUAGCUUCUGCGCGCAUGCAGGGGAGCAAACAAUACGACAAACGACAUACUACGCAUUGUUGAUGAGCUUAUCAUGGAGUUGGGGCGAUUCGGUGAUGCUGCAGAUAAUCUGCGCCGAGCUGUAAAAUACUCUUCACGUUAAAUCUUUACCAUGAAAUGGGUGAAAAACUGUGAUCUAAUAACUCCUUUGGCAACUGCAGUGGAAGGAUUGGCUCAUGUCAUGGGCGGCAAGUGACAUAAAUGAAUCCUAUGAAUGGAGCACAGCAUUGUUGUUGGUUCGCACGGUCGAGGUCUGCUCUGGAAGGUAUGAUUCCACCAAGCAAAAGAUGAACAUUUCUGAGUAUACCCAGCUGGAGCAGCUCACCUCUUCCAUAUGCCGCAAACUUGCCCAGGUUUGUAACAACAAUUCUACAUACAUACAUAUAUAUGCACUGUAAACACAUGUAUUAAAAAAGAAUGUUUAUCAAUGAUUCAAGCAGUGUGGGCAAGAAAUGGAGAACAUUGAAGAAAUAGACCGACAGGCGGGUUUGGAGAUGCGAGAACUAGCUGAGCACGUCCUUCAGAGCUGCAAUGGCAUCAGCAGAUUGACCAAGCAAACUUUUCUCCAUGUUGUGAAGAGCUUCUACUACGCUGCCCUUUGCUCACACGACACAAUUGAUCACCACAUCUUCAAGGUCAUACUGGAAGAUGUCAUUUAGAGCAUUUGUAUUAAGAAUUGUGUUUCUGUAACAAGUCCUUAUUUAUUAGGCAGGGAAAUAAGCUCCGCCAUAUUAUCCUGCGGAGUGUUGAAACCCUAGCUUUGUUACCAUAGUCGGUGCUUUUCUGGACUGGCAUGAACUGACAUUAUCUGCUACAAACAUGAAGUUCUAAGAAAUGUUCGUACCGUUGAUGAAGCAUAUGUUUGGUUGCCACGGGCAAGAAAGGGAAUGAUGAGCUUGAGCCUAUUUGUAAGAAAUUUUGCAAUGACCUGUAUUGGAUAAAGGAGUAGGGUAGAGGCCGCAAAGGGGAUGAUGGGCAUCAAUUUAUUGCAGUUGCGGCGAAGGAGUAGGGUAGAAGCGGCUGAUGUCAAAUUUCCUAGUGUCAAUGAUAUCAUAGAAGUAGUCCUUGAGAGUAGAGGUUUCCAGUGAGCGAUCAUGAAAGUCCGCGCCUUGGAAGUGGAGAGGGGUGAUAGUAUUAUUCCGAAAGCGUAUGGAGGUCGAAGCAUGUUCAUUUGUGUGUGUGUGUGUGUUGUUUCAAGAGCAGAGCAAGUUCUCUGGUGGCUCCUUGUAAGGAUCUGAUGGCCACUGGUCGGAGAUUAAAUACAGCGCGGGAAAGAGGGCAAAACCGCCUCUUUUAAAUCAACAAAAGUUAUAACUGGUUUAGAGAAACUAAUUAUUAAUUGGGCCGGUCAUCUGCAACAGGCCGACGCUCUAAGACGAAGCAGCUGCAUUUUAGAGGUUGGGCCAGAGCGCAUGUAGUCCCAAGCGAGGCAGCGGCCCGUCGGUUUGGAGCCAAGCAAUGUUGGAAAUUUGCAAACAGGUUGGGCUUUCGGUCCAGGCACAUUCAAAUCUGAAUUGGUGGGAACACUUGAUGUGGAUGAUUAGUGGGACAUGAUCAGAUGUGCAUCUUGUAAGAGAGGAUAGUGCGGUUAAGGCCUUAAAGGGUACAACGUGUUCCGAGCUAGAAUGAAGAAUGCAUGAUCAAUUCUUUCCAACAUGGGGUCCUCGCGGUUAUUUGACCAGGUGAAGGGUCGAUCAAGUAAGGGCAAUUCUAGGAGCCCAAGAUAGUCAAUCGUUUGACUGAAAGUGUCAGCUUGAUGCACCCAGAAGUUACUGUUAUUUUUUGGUUGGAAACCCGAAAUAGAUUAUAAUUUCCACUGAUGAUCCACGUGGUGGCAUCAUCUUGUUUGAUUGUGUUCCUCAAAACAAUCUGACUUCAAUGCGUGGGAGGAGGGGGCUUAGACAUUUGUGGCAACGAAGUAUUGAUUCCGGAUGUGCGAUAUUAAGUUGAUGGAGGAUGAAAAGUGAUGAUUGUCGUCACUGGCAGAGCCUUGUGGAGGCCAAAGGGGGGCGUGACCACCCCCCCCCCCCCCCCACCCUCCAAAAUGGAAAAUCCUAUUCGCCGUCUGUUGCGUCAAACUGCUGGCGCUUCACACAGACGAGCGGCCGAGGAGCGCCGUGAUGGACCGGCCCUUCUAAGCACUUCAACGUCCCCAAUUUUGGGAACAUUCUAAAGAUUCCAGCCGUUUUUUUUUGGUUUUGGGAACUUCUACAAGGUUCCUACAUCGGGUUUUCUUUUGUUCUGUUUUUUCCAUUUUCCUCUUUUUUUGCCUUUUUCUGUUUUUGUGUUUCUAUUUCGUUUUCCUCUUUUCUUUUCUUUCCUUUCCUUUCCUUGCAAUGUUAAUCUUCUUUCUUCCCUUUCUUCUCAAUUUUUUUGUAAAUCAUUGUGUUUUAUUGAUUUGUUAUCAAGGAUUUUUUUUUAAAUGUUUGUAUUUUGAAAAAAUGUUCAGAACUUCAAAAAAUGUUCCCAUUAUUGUUUUGGAAUACAAAAAAAUGUUCACUAAUGUAAAAAAAAGUUCAUGUUUCAACAAUUGUUCGCAAAAUGUCCAUUUUUCAUGAGUUUAAAAAAUCUUCAUUUUCUAAAAAAUGUUUGCCAUUUCAAAAAUUGUUCGUGUUGUAUAAUUUUCGUCGGGUGUUUCAAAUAAUGUUCUUCAUUUUCUAAAAAAUGUUUUCCAUUUCAAAAACUGUGCAUAAGUUCAAAAAAUAUUCCUGUUUCAACAAAUGUACAUAUGUUCAAAAAAUGGUUCCACUUCAAAAAUUGUUCACAAAAUUCGAAAAAUGUUCUUUUUAAAAAAAUGAAAAUGCUCCUGUUUCCAAAAAAAAUCAUAGACUAAGAAAUUGUUUAUGUUUUCCAAAAAUGUUUGUGUAUUUCAAAAAAAUUCCAGAAAUUAAAUAAAUGUUCCCACUUUUCAAAUUUGAAUAAUAAAUUUUAAAAGUAUCCGAGUUUCCAAAAAAUAUGUUUGCAUUUAGAAAAGUACAAGAAUUUGAAAAUAUGUACCUGUUUUCAAACAAAAAUCAUAGUUUCAAAGAUUCUUCGAAAAUUCAAAAAAAAAGUCCAUUUUAGAAUUUUUCGGAAAUACAAAAGUUGUUCCCAUUUCUAAAUAAAUUAAUUUGUUCUUUUUUCGCAAAAAUGUUUGAGAUCCCAUAAAUGUGUUUUCACAAAAUUUUAGAGUUUGUAAAAUUUGUUCAUAAAUCUCAAAAAGAAAAACACAUUAGAAAUUUCUGAAAAAGUUCAUAUACACUGGGCUUCUAUUUUGUACAACAAAUCUUUGGGAAUUUUCGUGGCUAGUGACGUGGAUCAUUUGCAGUAGGUCUUCGGUUCAAGUCCACUCACAAACUUUAGUUUUUGGGAAUUUUAGGGAACUGUUGUUUUUGUUUGCCACAGUCGUUUUGUUUCUUGGCAACAUAUUUGGUGAAUCCUACCUAUUUUAUGUGUCCAUGUAGCCAGUCAGCUUCAACCCUACUAUCUUAAUCCUGAGCAUCACUGGCAGCCAAGCAACUAAUUACGUUUACCCGCCCGCUUUCUAACUUACCUCGUACUUUAUUCACAGAUGAGCCCCUAAAGCCUUUGACGCAUGAAUACGCAUACAACUUCUGUACGCCGUGCGCCGCCGUCGCCGCCGCCGCCAUCGCCAUCGUGUGCCUCCGAUUUCCGUCGGCUCGAUCCGGACGUCCACCGGCACCCACCAGGUAGUGUCCCAGUCUUGUGCCUGCUCGUCUGAUCCCACGUUAACACGAACGUGGAAACCAUCAGCAAACGUUUCAUGCACGUACUUCCCGAUCCAGACCUGUUUCCUGUAUAGCUGAUAAUACUUUGUUGCAGUAGCGAGUACCGACGAGCAACUUCCAAAUAGAACGAUGCCACCUACAAUCAGCGAUACGAAGGGCAUCAAAAGUUUGAGGUAAACUACACACAGAUUCAGUCCUUGUGUAUACACGUGUGAGUGUAGGUUGCAAGGCUAAUCAUGUGGCAUGUGUGCAGCAGUAUGGAUGGAGUGACUCGCGUUCAAAUCAAUGUGAACCAUGCAGGAUUUAGUACACCCCAAAAGAACACGGACAUAUCUCUGUUUGUAAGUUCAGUUUGCACUAACAAUUGAAAUUAUGCAUGAAAUGCUUAUUCCGCUUUAUUCUUGAUGUUGCAGCCUUCGUCUUUUACACCUGAAUGUGAGGAGCACUUCAAGCCUAAAGUGGGUAUGACAUUUGAAAGACUCGAGGCAGUGGAGAAAUUCUACAAGGCAUAUGCACAUGAAUCGGGUUUUGGUGUUCGUAUCGGACAAUACCUACAAGAUAGACUCAUGGGUUGAGCACCAUGUGUUGGAGAACGUCGCAUGGGAAACAAAAAUUUUCCUACGCGCACGAAGACCUAUCAUGGUGAUGUCCAUCUACGAGAAAUUCUACAAGGCAUAUGCACAUGAAUCGGGUUUUGGUGUUCGUAUCGGACAGCAGAAAAAGAUUGAGAAUAAGGUAGUCCGGACUAAGCGUUUCAUGUGUAAUAGGGAAGGAUUCAAGUCAAAAGAUAGUAAGGAGACAGGUGACCCCUUGAAGAAAAGGCGUAAGCAGACAAAUACGCGAUGCGGUUGUGAUGCUCAUAUCUUUGUUCGACUUUGUGGGGACAAUACCUACAAGAUAGACUCAUGGGUUGAGCACCAUGUGUUGGAGAACGUCGCAUGGGAAACAAAAAUUUUCCUACGCGCACGAAGACCUAUCAUGGUGAUGUCCAUCUACGAGAGGGGAUGAGUGAUCUACGUACCCUUGUAGAUCGUACAGCAGAAGCGUUCGAGAACGCGGUUGAUGUAGUGGAACGUCCUCACGUCCCUCGAUCCGCCCCGCGAACAAUCCCGCGAUCAGUCCCACGAUCUAGUACCGAACGGACGGCACCUCCGCGUUCAGCACACGUACAACUCGACGAUGAUCUCGGCCUUCUUGAUCCAGCAAGAGAGACGGAGAGGUAGAAGAGUUCUCCGGCAGCGUGACGGCGCUCCGGAGGUUGGUGAUGACCUUGUCUCAGCAGGGCUCCGCCCGAGCUCCGCAGAAACGCGAUCUAGAGGAAAAACCGUGGAGGUAUGUGGUCGGGCAGCCGUGAGAAAGUCGUCUCAAAUCAGCCCUAAUUGCUCCAUAUAUAUAGGAGGAGGGAGGGGGGCCUUGCCUUGGGGUCCAAGGACCCCCAAGGAGUCGGCCGAGCCAAAGGGGGGGAGGACUCCCCCCCAAACCGAGUUCGACUUGGUUUGGUGGGAGGAGUCCCCUUCCCUUCCCACCUCCUUCCUUUUUUUUCUUUCCUCUUGAUUUUUCUUCUCUUGGCGCAUUGGGCACUUGUGGGCUGUCCCACCAGCCCACUAAGGGCUGGUGUGGCUCCCCCAAUGCCUAUGGGCUUCCCCAGGGUGGGUUGCCCCCCCCCCCCGGUGAACUCCCGGAACCCAUUCGUCAUUCCCGGUACAUUCCCGGUAACUCCGAAAACCUUCCGGUAAUCAAAUGAGGUCAUCCUAUAUAUCAAUCUUCGUUUCCGGACCAUUCCGGAAACCCUCGUGACGUCCGUGAUCUCAUCCGGGACUCCGAACAACAUUCGGUAACCAACCAUAUAACUCAAAUACGCAUAAAACAACGUCGAACCUUAAGUGUGCAGACCCUGCGGGUUCGAGAACUAUGUAGACAUGACCCGAGAGACUCCUCGGUCAAUAUCCAAUAGCGGGACCUGGAUGCCCAUAUUGGAUCCUACAUAUUCUACGAAGAUCUUAUCGUUUGAACCUCAGUGCCAAGGAUUCGUAUAAUCCCGUAUGUCAUUCCCUUUGUCCUUCGGUAUGUUACUUGCCCGAGAUUCGAUCGUCAGUAUCCGCAUACCUAUUUCAAUCUCGUUUUACCGGCAAGUCUCUUUACUCGUUCCGUAAUACAAGAUCCCGCAACUUACACUAAGUUACAUUGCUUGCAAGGCUUGUGUGUGAUGUUGUAUUACCGAGUGGGCCCCGAGAUACCUCUCCGUCACACGGAGUGACAAAUCCCAGUCUUGAUCCAUACUAACUCAACUAACACCUUCGGAGAUACCUGUAGAGCAUCUUUAUAGUCACCCAGUUACGUUGCGACGUUUGAUACACACAAAGCAUUCCUCUGGUGUCAGUGAGUUAUAUGAUCUCAUGGUCAUAGGAAUAAAUACUUGACACGCAGAAAAUAGUAGCAACAAAAUGACACGAUCAACAUGCUACGUCUAUUAGUUUGGGUCUAGUCCAUCACGUGAUUCUCCCAAUGACGUGAUCCAGUUAUCAAGCAACAACACAUUGUUCAUAAUCAGAAGACACUGACUAUCAUUGAUCAACUGGCUAGCCAACUAGAGGCAUGCUAGGGACGGUGUUUUGUCUAUGUAUCCACACAUGUAAAUGAGUCUUCAUUCAAUACAAUUAUAGCAUGGAUAAUAAACUAUUAUCUUGAUACAGGAAUUAUAAUAAUAACUAUACAUUUAUUAUUGCCUCUAGGGCAUAAUUCCAACUCCAUGUUCAUGGUCUUGUCUCACCUGAUAAGCGUCAUUUGAUCAGAUCGAAUCGUAGAGUUAGUGAGAGGGCAAAGAAUACUUUAUACACAUGUCAUAAGGCAAGCAUUGGAACCUCCCAGGCAUACAGGCUCUUGCAAGUUAGCGGGGGUGGCAUUCCAAAUGUUGGUUGCUCAAAGAGGGACUUGCAGAAUUACUACCAGUCACUCAGGUAUAAAAUCAGAGAUGCAUAUGCUCAAAUGUUUGUGGCCCAAUUAGCUAGAAAGAAGGAAGUGAAUUCAGCAUUUUUCUAUGAUUUUGAGGUGAAUGAUGAGGGGAAGCUAGUGCGCGUGUUCUGGGCCGAUGCCACAAGCAGGAAGAACUAUAGUCACUUUGGUGAUGUCAUAUCCUUUGAUUCUACAUACACCACUAAUCAGUACAACAUGAUAUUUGCCCCAUUUACCGGGGUUAAUCAUCACUUACAAAGUGUAUUUUUCGCUGUUGCAUUCUUAUCAAAUGAGAAGGAUGAGUCAUACAUUUGGUUAUUUGAGACCUUCUUGAGAGCAAUGGGAGGGGUAGCACCUAGACUCAUCAUAACCGAUGAAGCCACUAGCAUAAAGAAUGGUAUUGACAAAGUUUUUCCAACCACCAUCCAUAGGUUGUGCAUGUGGCAUAUAAUGGAAAAGGUGCCUGAAAAAGUUGGACCUGUAGUUAGAGAAGAUUCUCAAUUUUGGACGAGAUUGAACUCAUGUGUUUGGGGUUCGGAAACUUCAACUAAGUUUGAGUUACAAUGGAAUUCCAUCAUUAUAGAUUUUGGGUUGGAGGAAAAUGAGUGGUUGACUAAGAGGUUUAGCAUUCGAGAUACAUGGAUACCAACCUACUUUAUGGAUAUUUCUCUAGCCGGCAUUCUCCGAACCACUUCAAGAUCAGAAAGUGCAAAUUCUUUUUUUAAUCGCUUCAUUCAUCGAAGACUCGCUUUUGUUGAGUUUUGGCUUAGGUUUGAUACAGCUUUAGAAUGCCAACGUGAGGAAGAAUUAAUGGCAGACAAUAGAAGCAUACAUACCACCCCACAACUAUUUACGCCAUGGACGAUGGAGAAACAAGGUAGUGAGGUAUUCACAUAUGAGGUGUUUGAGAAAUUUCAGCUACAAGUUCUUGCUGCUCGAGACCAUUGUUGUGUUCAAAGUAUUACACAAGGUGUGGGGGUAAAACACGUGACCCUUAGAGAUCGAUCUGGUAAGGUUAGGGAGGUCUGCUAUGAUACUGCAAGCAUGACAACAAAUUGUUCGUGCAAGUUAUUUGAGUCACUCGGUAUUCCAUGUCGUCAUAUUAUCCAAGUAUUGAGGAUUGAAAACCAAAAUGAGCUUCCUAGCUGCUUCAUUAUGAAAAGAUGGCAGAAAAGGUGCAAAAGGUAAAAAUAAUAAUGCACUCCAGCCAAAUUUUUUGGUUAUUCCAAAAUCAUAUGACUAACAACAUUCUUUUGUUUUUUAGGGAGAAUGUUUAUGAUGAACAGGGGAACCUACUAGAAGAAAAGCCCAUGGAUUCACUAGAUGCAGCCACGAGAAAGAAGAUCUCGUCUAUACGAGAUAAGAUGGAAGAGCUUAUUCAAAAAGCAAAGCAUUCAGAUGAAGGCAUGGACUUCUUAACAUCAAGCGUGAUGAACAUUGAGGCACCUUUGGACCAAAUGGUCCCUGCAGCCACCCAAAGCAGUAGGCAGGAGGAAUAUGAGGCUUUUAUUGGUUGCAAUAUUCCCACUGAAGUUCAUAUACAUCCGCCGACUGAUGUUCGUACUGUCGGGAGAUGCAAAAGAAUAAAGCGAGGAAAGGAGAUCAAGGACGGGGUUCAAAAAAAUAAGGUCAAAGAAGGGAAUGUAAAAGUCGCACGCUUGUGCAAGACAUGCAACCAAAUGGUAUUCCAUGAUAGUCGUAAUUGUCCAAGCAAAAAAGGAAAAGGGAGUGUGAUUGUGCAAGAUAUGCAGCCAAAUGGUGCUUCCUGAUACAGUCCAAGCAAAGAAUGAUUUUAUCUAUGUUAUCAUGUACACUUUGAUGUACAGAAUUCAUCUAAUGAUGAGAAUUUGUGUUAUGUGAAAUUAAAUUUGACUUGAUUUCUCACAAGUUUGAUGCUUGUCAAAUUGCUACAGAAUAUCGAACAUAUUUAUCAAUUUCAGACAUUUUUACCAGCUAUGCAAGCAUGAUUAAUAAUCUGGUUUAUAUUUAAACGUGUACUGCUCUGUAGUGGCAAUCCAUGCAAGUUUAUUUACUUUUUAUUUUCUGGUCGGACUUCCAUCAUCUAGUAGCACACAAUGAAGUUUGUAGGUGUUCUCAAAACUGGACAUAGCCAUCCCAGAGCACUUCUGUACUUCAAAAGCUUUACUGAAAAAUAAAAGCUUUGAGCAAAGGACUGAGAUAUUAGUUAAGGCAAUCCCAGAACAUUAGUAAAUGCCAUCCCAGAACAUUUCUGGUGAUUCUCUGAAUAACUCACAGAUUUUGGGAUGUAGUCACUGAACUUUAUGAAUGUUCAGGAAAAAUGGACAGUGACUUGCUGCUUAUAGCUUACAUAUCAAAACUUAAGAAAGCCAUCCCAUCCCACUUCUACAACUCCAAAUCUUUACCGAAGAGUAUAUGCUUUGACCACAUGACUGAGAAAAUCACCGAUUUUAUUCAACGUGUAAGUACAUAACUGAACUAGCCACUAACUUUUGUGGCAACAACAGGCAGGAUAAUUUAACAAGGCAAAAGCUCAACCAAAGCCUCUGAUCUGAGCCACGCAUAUCACGUAUUAGUUAGUAAUUUAAAAAUGAAAAGAAACAUGUGAAAACAUCUCACACGAUGCCAUUUAUUAGGUGCGAAUACUGAUACAGUUUACUCAUAUGAGCAUAGCACUAGUACAUGUGCUUCUACAGGCUACAGGCUACAUCACUGUGGUUUCCUAUGGGUGAGAGGCUGCAACUUCCUACGAAGGAAUCGUCGCGGUCUGGCAAGGCAUCCAGAGUGGUGUUGGCACAUAAUCAUCCGCGUCGUCACCUCCUCAGAACGUCAUCACUUGGCAUGGCUUCGCCGUCGAGACGGCCGACCUGGUGGGUGCCGUCGAAACGUGGGAUCAGACGAGCAGGUACAAGACUGGGACACUACCUGGUGGGUGCCGGUGGACGUCCGGAUCGAGCCGACGGAAAUCGGAGGCACGCGACGGCGAUGGCGGCGGCGGCGACGGCGGCGCACGGCGUACAGAAGCAGUAUGCGUAUUCAUGCGUCAAAGGCUGUAGGGGCUCAUCUGUGAAUAAAGUACGAGGUAAGUUAGAAAGCGGGCGGGUAAACGUAAUUAGUUGCUUGGCUGCCAGUGAUGCUCAGGAUUAAGAUCGUAGGGUUGAAGCUGACUGGCUGCACGGACACACAAAAUAGGUAGGAUUCACCAAAUAUGUUGCCUUGUUUCUUUACGUAUGGCACUGCAAAUCUCACAUUAUUUAUUCUUAGGCGCAGCGGCUAGCUAAGAUCAGGAAUUGCUAAGAGGUCAUGGGAUCGAUUCACAAUAUAUGAGCUUUCUUAUUUUUGCUUUUUUUCGUCUGCAAACGCGAUGCCUCCUACUGCCACGGCAAAUGGGCCAGUCCAGGUAGCCACAUAAAAAAGAUCGAUAAAAAUGCCGAAAACCCCCGGGGAAAAUACCUCCUAUAAAGCAGAAAAUGCAUGUGCAAAAAAAAUCCGAGUGUCCAGAACGCGACACGUGACGGCGGCUGUCAAAGCCCACUCCAGAUGACCCUUGGAGUUACCGAAGAAACUGUGGAGCUGGCGCUAGAUGGGCCGCUGACCAUCAUUUGAAAAAGCGAUCAUGGUAGAUGGCCUUUGUGGCGUUAGAUGUGUGGUGACCGCUCACCACAAAACAUUGAUCGACCCCUAUAAAUUCAAAAUUGACAGUUGACAUUUUGAAAAAACACAUAUUUGAACAGAGUUCAUAAAUUUGCAAAAAACAAAUCACAAGUUGGAAAAGUUUGUAAUCUUAAAAAAAUCGCAAAAGUAAAAAAAGUUUACAAAUUUAAAAAAAGUUCAAGACUUGGAAAUGUUUGUGAUUUGAAAAAGUUCAUGAAAAUGAAAAAAAUCUCAAGUUUAAAAGUAGCUCGUGUAUAUGAAAAAAUCGACGAACUUGACAAAAGUUCAUCCAUUUGAAAAAGUGAAAAUAAAACCAGCAGGACAUUCAUGUGAAGAUUCUCAAAUGCCAGUUGGGCCAGAGAGGGCCGUUCUAAACCCAUGGACAUACAAACCCAUUUUAAAAUAAAAUGCAUUUUAGCACGUUUUAAAGUGUCAGAAAAUUCAAAUAAAAUUUCACGCAUACAUGUUCGUAAAGUUGGAUGCACUGUACAAAGUUUUGUGAAAAAGUUUCUUUCUGUUUUGUCUCCGCAAAAAAGAUAAACUUCAGUUCUUCUAAAUAGCGUUUCAAAGACGCAUAUUUUUUCCUUUUUUGCACAGGCCACAAUUUUUUUAUGAAACCUUGUGCAUGCAAAUAGAACAUAGAGACGUACCCAUGAGACUUAUUUUCAGAUUUUUUUUGAGCAUUUGAAAAUGGGUUUUUCGAAGUGGGUUCAUAUGUGCCCGGGUUCAUCCAUGCACUUUCCAUUGGGCCACUGCUUUCCUCUUUUUCUUCUUCCUGAGAUUCUAAAAAAAAACUAUAUAUGUAUAAUACGUUGUUGAAGCUGAGUUGGAUGCAGAAGAUGACAUUGCAGAUAUUCUUAUCGGAGUAUUAUAGCAGGAACCUGACCUAAGUUAUUGCAUUUCCACAACAAACACCAGAUAACUAACAACUACUUGUGGAUACAUGGUUAGAGCAUCUACAACCGGCCUUCUUAAAUCCUUUUUCGGGAACGUGUCCGGUCAAUGACUAAACAUGAGAGGAGGAAAAAAAUCACACACUCGAACCCCAUAUAUCAUCCAUAGAUGUCUGGGUUGUUCGUUAACUCUUAUAUUAGGACAAAUGUUGGAAUAAUAUGAUGGCUCGCAGCCGCACCUGGACAGCCCGCCAUGUAAGACACAGCCCAUCACAGAUCAUCUUUUCUCUUUCUUUCUUUAUUUAUUUACUUUUUUUCAUAUUUACUAAUCAUGUAUAAAUAAUCGGGCAUAUAAGAAAAAAAAUGAAGAGUAUCACUGCAUGGACAGAAAAUAAAGAUUCAAAAUGGAUAUAUCCGGUCGCGUCCAUGCACGUUUAGUCUGGCAGAUUUACUAACUUUGGUUGUAGAUGCUUUUAAGCUACCAUACGUGUAUUAUCACAAGCUGACAUACUACACGAACUGUAACAGCGACCGCAUGAAAAUAUUUCCAUCAGAGAUGUUGAGUAAAUAGAGAAUUUUUUGAGUAGAUUAAUCCAUAAAAUAAUUACUAACACGGCAACACAACAAGUGUCAAAACACAGAGUAGUGCAUGACGCCCAAAUCUGUUACUCCCUCCGUUCGUAAAUAUAGGAUGUUCCCAAAAAAAAACCUGUUUUAGCGAAUCUUAUGUUUAGUUACUUUUUCAUUUCAGUCUGUAUUUAACAUAUAUUGAAAUAUUCAAAAUAUCUUAUAUUUGUGAACGGAUGGUGUGGCAUUUAGGGCAACCUGAUUUGUUAGUAUGAUUCUAUUUGUCGAAAUUUGUAGACCAAGCUAAGUGUGACACGGUCCUCACAGUUCGGUCGGCAGUUUUCGACGAUGCAAAUGCAAAUGAUCAUCAUUUUUGGCCUAUAGCCACUGUACGAUACAAAAUGCACAGUAUACUUCUCGAGCAUAGUUGGAUGAAAUUUUGCAAUGGCAACAGCCUGCUCUGUGGCCUGGAACAGUGAAAAGUACAUGGUCUGGAAUCGAGACAUUUAUUUUGAAACGGAGUGGUUUUGGAUGAGAUUCACGGUAAUAUAAGGAUUAUGCGGGCCAUAGGGGGAACCACGCGUGGUUUAUUGGCCUGGAAAUUGUGUGUGACUUGUGAGAUGCCAAGAUUGGCAUUGCAUCUCAUGGAUAUGAAUAAAUGAGAUGAGCCUACCUACUGUUUGGUGCAGCAAGGAGGACCAACCAUCAACUUAAUUACCUUGGGCUUAUGCGGGAUCAGCAUACGUAUGCGUGCAGGCAGACUCACUACAUAGUAGUGAUUUCUGCUGAUGCGUACGGCCGGGAAAGAGGCAGAGAGUAAGUAAUGACUCCAUCAGACAGUAGCUGCUGAGCUGCAGGAUGAGCCAUACUCGAUCAGACAGUGUCUGGCCCCGCCAUCCAGUCCACCUCCGUAGGCCAUGCUGCCGACGCCGACAUGGGGAAACUGUCAUUUUCUAUCCCGGAGGGGAGAGUUUUUUCGUUUGAUAAAUUUUUUGGUCCAUUUCCUUUUAACAUGGUACAGAGUCAUAUAAAUGCGCAUAUACAAAUUCAUAUAAAUGUAUGAACAUUUUUGAAAUAUUAAAUCGGUAUAUCAUCUUGAAAUUUUACGAAGUCACCGUAUGAGCCUCGUAGUCAACAAGAAUGUCUCCUUUCAUUAAACACACAUCGUCAAAAAUCUUAAAAUAAAUCCAGAAUAAAGGCGAGCAUCAAGACUUGAAUCCUGAUGGACUAAGGAUACCAUUGUUUUUCUAACAGUCUAAUUAUUUUCAUCGGCAGGUUAUAAACUAAGCACAUCUCAACGCACUUUCGAAUCAAAGAAGUUCGUCGAGAAUGUCUACAUGGAGACACCACCUUUACCAAACAAACAAGGCAACGAUGCAAGUACUUCGUUUCUGAUUCCGACCAAGAAAGUUCAUAAACGAGUUUUCAUCCUGAAGAUGAAGCGGUGUUUGAGUCAUCAUCUUCACAAUGUGACUUUCGAAAAGCGUGGCAGCCAAUACUCCGGCACAAAACCACAACUGUCGGGGAGUUGGCAAACUAACGCCGCAAUUUGUUCACUGCCACCAAAACCCGAGUCAAUCAUUCUCGGGCCGUCUAGUUGCCUCCGUGUUAUAUCAAUGGGUCUGGGACAACAAACACACCGAGCACAUGAUGUGUUCUGGCUAACGCACGGCCAUUUAACUCCUGGUCUAGUGUGGGUCGAGUCUGAUCGAUCUAGUAGCGGAUAGCGCCAGCCGCCACUCCUUCAACAGAGCUCGCAAUGAGCUGUUGGGAGCAUUGUCAGCGCUUAGCCGACAAUGCUUCCUGCCCGCCACGACCAACUAAGAAACAUGUAUGGCCUCUUGCCAUUACCAACUAGAGGUGAGGGGAAGCCCGGGAAGGGAGCAGGAAUUGCGGCGGUUGUAGAUCACCUUCCGUGCCGCUCGACUGUUGGGAGGGGGGGCGGGGUUUAAUAUUUUUUGGUUACUGGCUCAAAAAGUGCACCCGGCACAAGAUACAAUACGUAUAGAUGAGAAUAAAUUGAAGCUUAUUUUAAGAAUUAUAAUUACACCCUCCGUUUCAUAAUUCUAGUGUUGAUUUUAGUUUAGUAAAGAAGGAUGCUAUUUAAUUUCUUUCGUUUUCCUGGAAUUAGGAUGUGAUCCUUUUUUUUUUUCAUUAUUCCUAGAAGCUAUAUCUAGGAUGCAGUAGUGUUUCUGGUGACGGGGACAACCGAAUCCCUUCUUCUUGGAUCAUGCACAACUGGGUCAACUGGGUAAAAAUACUACUCUACCCAGAGGAAUUGGAAGCUAGCCUAGGCAGCUAGUAGAGUACUAGCUAGUGGCACGUGUUCCUAUAUAUGCUGUGGAUCUGGUUGACUUGUCGUGUCUGACCCAAGUGACCAAUCCAAGUUGGUUACUGUGCCACAUUAAUUAGACAAGACGCCAUUGUAAAUUUGUAAUCAUCCAUGGACACAAACAUUGUUUUCUUUUCUCUCGUGAGAAAACAAACAAGUGUUAGAUCGGCAUCGUGAACACAUGCAUGCAUGCAUAAUACUCUCUCCUUUCUAAAUAUAAGACCUUUUAGAGAUUACAUUAUGAACUACAUACGGAUAUACAUAGAUGUAUUUUAGAAUAUAGAUUCAUUCAUUUUGUUCCGUAUGUAGUCUCCUAGUGAAAUCUCUAAAAUGUCUUAUAUUUUGAAACGGAGGGAGUAUAAAUCUCUCUAAGGCCUUGUUCGGUUGCAACAGAUUCGAAGGGGAUUGGAGUGGAUUGGGGAGAAUUAAAUCCACUGUAAGUCAAAUUCCACCUCAAUCCCCUCCAAUCAUCUUCAAUCCUCUUGUGAUGGGGAUUAACCGAACAAGCUCUAAGGGUUUUACUAAUGGACUACAUACGAAUGUAUAUAGACGUAUUUUAAAGUAUAGAUUUACUUAUUUUGCUUCGUAUGUAUACACCUAGUGAAAUAUCUUAAAAGACUUAUAUUUAGGUACGGAGGGAGUAGUUGCAAGCAAUUAUUUAUAUGCAACAGUUGCAGAUGAUGGUGCAUCCACGAUCUCCUGCUUCUUCUUGGGCUCCACCAUUCAUCUGGUCUGAUCUCAUCAUCUAUUGAUAGCUCACUCGAGACGAAUCUCGGCCCCCAGACAACAUGGUCGACGCAACCGGACAAAUCAAUCCAGCUAUUCCACUUAUGCAUGCUAUAUUGACUGAAAAUUGUAAAUUGCACGUCACAAAACCAUCUACUUCCAGCCAUAUCCUUCAUGAUGGUCUGUGCAUGUACGUACCAACAGGAUCAUCUACCUUGCUGUCUGUACCAUUUCUCAAGUAAAAAUGUUGCUGACACACACACACACACACACACACACACACACACACACACAUAUAUAUAUAUAUAUAUAUAUAUAUAUAUAUAUAUAUAUAUAUAUAGGCAAGACCAGCAUGCAUGUAGAACAUUUGUAUUAAAUGUGUUCUGGUUUAGUCUACACAGCGCAAGAAACAUUUCCUCUUAUGUGUUGUCUAAAUGUAGGGAAGGAAAGAGGCUGGAAUUAUUCUCGUACUCCGCGUGCACUUGCCUCANNNNNNNNNNNNNNNNNNNNNNNNNNNNNNNNNNNNNNNNNNNNNNNNNNNNNNNNNNNNNNNNNNNNNNNNNNNNNNNNNNNNNNNNNNNNNNNNNNNNGUGGACGGCACAGGGCCCUGACUUUCUAGGGGCCCCAAAUUUUCAAGCAUAGUCCAUAUCCUACUGACCCACUAAUUACAACAUCUGCAUGCAGGCCUACCAUGACGGGGCACGAUGCCACGAUCAAUCUAGGGGCCUCGAGUCUAGAAGCAAAUCUGCGCGGACGACCACUCGGCGAGUUCUCUAGUACCGCACGGCCGCAAGGCAUCUCUUUGCAAGGAGUAGGGGAGAAGGUCGUGGAGAGCGCUGCCGUCGGUGUAUUAGGCCGAGAGAACCAGCAGCGUAAACGGAACACGCACUCGCCGAUGUCGGCGGGCGGGACUAGCGAUACGUGUGCAUAGCUGUGCCUUGUACUUUCUCAUGUAGAGAGAUAUCGAUGUGCCAAGCGGCGGCACAGAGUUGAAUCUGCGGGUGGUACCCGGUUCAUCAGCAACCUGAAUUUCCAUGAAGCACCCGUCUAACACCUUCUUCUCUUCGUCUAAACUGGUACGAUGUCCUCCUUAUUCAUGCUUUUUUUUUCAUACACGUACAAAUCAGAGACUAAGCUUUCUAGCUUUUACGAUUCAAUUUCAUGAUUUCUUUGGUGAAUCAUUCAAAGAAAAUUAAGCAGUCAGAUUCGACCUCAAUUUAGGGUUUGGCACAGGGCCCCUGAUUUUGCCGGCCCGGCCCUGCAUGGUGCCAUGCAUGGUUGGUUGGUCACAAAACUAACCCAGGUCUCAUGUGGCUCUCACUAGCCACUAGCUUCAGUUUCAUGCUACCCUAGCUAGCAAGGUCGCGGUCACACUUUCAGCACUAGUAGAUGUCUUGUUUCCUCUCCUUUUUGACAUCCAUUGACUAACUAGCUAGGGGUGAGCUUACUACUUGUAGAUGUUGGUCAAUUUGUAGCUAAAGAUUGAAGUUUGGUCAACACAUCAUGCAUGUCGGGAUCACCACGGUUUCUCGGAUCAUACCACAUGAAUCUCGACACACAUUUGUGUGCCCUCUACUAUAUCAGUUGUGCCAUUUUGAUACAGAUGCAUAAUGUAUGUUAUGUCAUCUUCAAGUCGGUCUUCUGGGCUUUGCUUAUCCUCGACUCCAUCCUUGAUAGAGCUCCGGUGUAUGUGCACGUCAGCGAGAUCUGGUGUCACACACUUCAGAUCGAUUCAAGGUUUCAACAUGACGACUGCAGCUCUAGGGCGCUGGUGCUUAGCGGCAUAUGCACAAAGACUUUUCAGCCGUCAUUGACAAUGUCAUGCUGAUUCCAGUACGGGAGUGGCAACAAGGGACUCUUGGUUGGUGGUCCAAUGACCUCGAUAUGAUGUUUAUUAUAUUUGCGGGUGAUUUGUACUAUUGAUGAACUUUUAUAAUAGAUAUGCGUCCUUAAAAAAAUCUCAAUCCAAGUUUUUGCAAGAAACCAAAAUUUAUGUUCCACUAAGAGAUUAUCUUAAAUAUUAAUAAUAAUGUGGUAUGACAUGUCGACAAGCUAGACAUUAACAUUAAUUAAUGAAGAGAAAGGGAGAAUGAACCAGUGGAUGAACUGGGACUUAUAGGGACGUUAAGCUAAACAAUUGAGAUUUUGUUUAGUAGUCUAUAUACUUAGCAACUAUGGCCCUCAAGAUGUGUCCUCUAGUGGGCAAUUGACUCAGCUCAACUCCUCCUCUCGGGGGACUGAGCAACACACCAACAUGAGAUGGAAAUUUGCUCAACAAUUUGUUCCAUCCAUUCUGUUGUACUACUAGAUACUCUCACACCGUACCGACUAGCUCGACCACGCUUGGCCUCGAUCUGCGCCUCGGCUGCUAGGUGCUCGGCAUGCGGGGUGGUAUAUAUUGCGUCUUCGUCACCUCCUUCAAGAGGAGGUGGAUGUCGUCACCCCCCGCCCUCGUCGACGUGAUGGAUCAAAUGGUCCGGCAUUGUUGGUUUUGUGCAUGUUCUCAAUCUCCUCUGUAAACUAAGUACACGCCCUGAUCCAGGUUGCACUUGGGGUUAUAUGGAGCUGCUAGAUGGAUCGGAUCGGAUGGAUCACCCUCAUGCAUGUUUCACCCCUGAUCUCUUUUGGUGAGAGAAAGGUAUGAGUUGGUCCAACAUUGUUGGUUGGGGUUUUGUGUGAGGGCAUAUGCAUGGAGAUGGAGCCUUGCAGAAGAGCUGCUAGCUUGGCCCGGCCGAUGCCUCACACCUAACACAUGCAUGCAUUCGUCUUGGAUCGCUUCUCCAUGCAUGAAAACAAAAAUAAUCCUAGACCGAGUCUCGUGCAUAUGGCUCUCACUAGCUUCAGUUUCAUGCGAUCCUGGAAGUUAAAGGUCACACUCACCGUGCUACGUACCAUCCCGAUCCAAGCUAUUGGCAAGAAACCAAAAUUCAUGUUCCCCGGAUAUAAAUUAACUUAUAAAUAAUAGUAAUGUUCGUACGACACGUCGAUGAGGAUGACGUUAACACAAAUUAAUUGAGAGAAAGGGACAAGGAAACAAGGAUGAACUGGGACCUAGGGCAGCUAAGCUACUGAACAAUCGAUGGAGGCAGGUGAGCAACUGGGAUUAGCUUAUAUGUUUGUUUAGUGGUCCAUAUCUACUUAGCAACUCUGGCCCUCCCAUGCAUGAUGUAUCCUCUGCUGCUGGCUAAUUGAAUUAGCUCAACUCCUCCUCUCAUGACUCAUGAGACUUGAGCAACAUUUUUUCGGAAAGUAGAAUGACCCCGGCUUCUGCAUCAUGACGAUGCAUACAUUUAUUUUAUUAAUUGUUUAACAAAAUUUUAUAAAGUAAUAUAUCAAUAUGUCUGAAGUCACCAUCUUGACGACAUAUGUCCCUACUCCUAUCGACUUGAUGAAGGGGUAUAAAUUGUCUGGGCCACAUACCCACACCUCAUACCAAAGCACAACAUCUAAAAUCGGAGGCCCUUACAAAGUUGUUAAUGGGUUUGACUCGCACACCGAUGCGGCGCACUCUCAACGGGUACCGCAUGCACACCCUGCAAUUACCGUGACCAUCGUCUUCCACCGAUCCAUCUUCGAAGCAGGUACUGACGCAUCCACCUUGCGAGGCCUGCCGUCGAUGCCACCAUGCGCCAGACAACGCCGCUACCCUACGCGCGUCCAUCAUCACACAUCCGUCGCCGAGACCCUGCAACACCAUGUCACCGAGACUCCACAUUGUCGAUGCUUCACAGGAAUUGCUUAGCCGCUACACAGCGAGCAGGUCGCACCGGCCAGAUCAGAUCUGACCGAAGGCCAGACCACCCAUGACGCCGACCCGUCCACCAGGCCCUCCAUGCCACCGCCGCCGAUCCGAGGAUAGAUGACCCGUUGUCGCAGAUUCAGUCGCCGCCACCGAACACAGCCAACGUCGCUGCCCAAGGCAAGGCUGACCGCCAUGCCCGCAACAAUUGCUGCCCAAGACAGAGCCAACCAUCGUGUCACUGGCGGUCAAGGCAGGGACGCCCGCCACGCCGCCAAGGUCAGGCCAGUCACACCUCCUCACAUCGCGGGAUUCCGCAUCACCCCCAUGGCACAGGAGAGAGGGAGGCCCCCGCCAUCGCGAUCGGGGGACCGAGCAACAUGAGAUGAAAAUUGCCUAAUCACAGACAUGCAUAGCCAGCCUAUAAUUAGUUAAACGAGGGGCGUGAACUUGAUAUUUCCAUUCUAUAAUUCUAUGAAUAAAUUGGGGCCUCCACUUGAUACUUUCACACCAAGCUGCACGCAUGCAUGGUCCCUCUCGUUGAGGGGGUCGAUCACAGUUAAUGCAAAACCCCACACACACUGCCAUUGGCCUCAGGUUGCAUUUGGUAAUGCCCUCCUCUCCAUUUUCAGAUCCAUGUUUUUCGUGCAUGCAUGCAUGUACCUACUUUUCACAUCUACCGUUUCAAAAUAACUAGGAGUAGUUAGGGUCCCAAAAAGUGAAAAUAGAUAGGACUGAAUUUUAGACUACUCACAAUGGAGAGUAACAUGGAGCACGAAGUAGUAACAAGUAUAUGUUACUAGCCUAAGGCCCUGUUUGUUUUAAAAUUUCCAGAACUUUUUUAGUCCCAACUAAAAAAUCCCUAGUCCCUACCGUUUUGUUUUCAUGGACUAAACAGAGAUUAGAGGUCAUUAAAUAAAAUACAAAAAUCCCAUGUUACCCCUAGUAAUGUAAUAAAAGUUAUUAAAUGACAUGCUAAAAGUAGGGGCACUGUUGGAAAAAGUGCCAAAAACUUCCAAAAAGACCCUUCCAUAGGGACUUCUUCCUCUAGUCCCAAAUACCUCAUUUUAGUCCUUAAAAGUCCCUCCUACUUGUUUCACAUGGGAUUAAAAGAGACUUUUUUUAGUCCCUACACCAAAAAGUCCCUGGAAACAAACACCCCCUAAGUUACUAUCUUCACAGUGAAUAGUAACAUAAGGAUACUGCCUCCGUCACGGUUUAGAAGGCACGGCUAAUUCACGUGCAUUUUCACAACAGACAAGGUUUAAGGCGCAUUGCAUUUACUCCUAGCAUCUAAUUAGUAGCUCGUUGUACUACUUCUAUAUGCAUGUGUAGUGUGAAAACUAUUUUAACUCAUUUCACAGCCAAUCAAUAACCACCUAGGUUCUAGAGAAUUUUCAUGCACGUCUUCUAAACCGUGACGGAGGGAGUAGUAAUGUUGAGCCUUUCAUUUAUUAGUUUUUCCUUGAUAUGAGUAACUAGUUAAGUUACUCAAUUUAUCUCUCUUUUCAUUAGUUAGAGAAAGAUCCUUUUCUCUCCCUAAAGUCAUUUAAUUACUUACACAAUACAUGAUGGUUGUGGUGGCUUCGUCCAUAUUCAUGCUCCGCGGGUCUAGUCUUUACUAGAUUUUGUAUGAGUGUGGUCAUGUGCGUGUAUAUGUCUCUCUAUGUUUAUGAAAUAAAACCCACAUAUAUGUUAGGUUUCGUGCGUUCUUAUAAUGGUGCGAUGGGUGGUUUUGAGAUAUCCACACUCCGUGACUUUAGUCUUCACUAGGCUUCUUAUGAGUGCGGUUGUGGCGUUGUGCGGUUUUAUAUAAGUUUGUCAUGUUUAUGCUUGGAUGCCACAUCAACUACCAAUGAUGUAACAAUCUAUAUUUAUCUACUCAUAUGGUGUGUGUGGCGGUUUUGUCUAUAUUUGUCAUGUACGACUUCAGUCUUUACUAGAUUUUUGUAUGAGUGAUGUUGUGUGGUUUUGUAUGAAUCCGUCGUGCUUACGCUUGUGUGUCACAUCACCUAGUCAUGAUGUAACAAUUAAUAUUUGUCUACUCAAACCCAAUUCAUGCUGAUAUGGUAUUAUUCAAGCACUUCUACAUCUUAAAAGCCCAUUUCAAUCAUUGGCUCCAUGCGUGUAUCUUUUUUCUCCUUGGGGAGGUCAAAUGAACGUCUUUCUUAAUUUAUCUCUCCUCUUCUUGAUCCAAUUAAGACAACAAAAUCCCUCCGAAUUUAUCAAGAACAUUCAGACAUAACAUGUUCAAAUUUAUUACAUGUCCUUACUUCCAACACAAUUUUCACUUCAUAAUAUCCAACUAUCUUGCUAAGAAUCAACAAAGGCUUCUAUAUCUCGGUUUGAUUGGAAACUAAAUAAGUUACAAUGAUUUUAUAGAUUUUAUUUUUGUGAAAAUAAAUCUAGUUUUUUUCCAUAGACAUGUAAGGAAAGAUCCACUAUCAUUAAAGAAAAUCGCUCAUGUAAUAAAUAAAUAUAAUGUAAUCCUAGACGCCUAAAAGUCAACUAAAUCUCAGUCGAUCUUACAAAUAUGUCCAUGCAAAACUAAAAAGAAAUCAUUGUGAUGUAAUAAUUUAUUUAUAUGCUGCAAGAAUUGUAUUAGUUGUUCAAUUAUUGCCAAAGUUUAGAAAGGUAUGAAAUCUUGCACAGGUUUCAAAUGUCAGACUCGGCGUCAAACAACUCGUACCCGGUUCGAUAUUAAUGAAUUUGUUUAAUGCUUUCAUCUCCAUUUUCAAAUCCAAGUUUGUCAUGCAUGUGCCUACUUUUCAUGUAUUUGUCGCUUCGACUUGAAUGAAAUAGUUAGGGAUCCUAAAAAGGGGGAAAUAGUAGGUUUCAAUUCUAGAUGUAGAUUAUUUUGCUCGCAGAGUCACUUAAUUUCGUAACAAUACGAGAUGGUCAUGGUGAAGGACGGAGCGAGGAUCUAUGAAAGGUGGGAGCCAAACACAAACAACCAAACGUUUAGGGGGGGGGGGGGCAAACACUAAUUUGAUGGGUAUCUUUGCAAUUUUUUCAUGAAUUUAGAGGGUAUAUGGACAAAAAUAUUCAACCAUGAGGCUCCGUGAAUUGAGCCUUUACUAGGUUUUGUAUGAGUUUGGAUAUUGUGCAAUGGGAUAUGCUUAUAGCAACAUCAACCACCCGUGACGUAACGAUAAAUAUUUAUCUACUCAAAUAAUGUUUGCGGUGGUUUCAUUGUUAUUCACAAUCCACGACUUUAGCCUUUACUAGGUUUUGUAUGAGGGUGUCGUGCUUACGCACAUUCGCCACAUCAAUUGCCCAUGAUGUAGCAAUUAAUAUUUGUCUCACAAAUCAAGCUCGUGCUUGUAUGGUUUAUUCAAACACCUCAACAUUUUCUAAAUGGAUUUCAGUCAUUGGUUCAAUGCUUGUAUCUUCUCUCCUUGGAGAAGUCAAAUGUAAAAGCUCUCUUAGUUUAUGUCUCACCUUCUCAAUCCGAUUAAGGAAAAAAUGCCUUCCAAGUUUCUCAAGAACAUCCCAACCUCACCACUUAAAAUUUAUUAUGUGCAUACUUAUUUUCUACACGAUUUUCACUGAGCGUAUAAUCCAAUUGUUUUGCUAAGGAUUAAAAAACGUCGAAUAGAUGCUCUGUGUGUCGGCCAAGUGAGAAUUAGCUAAUUCACAACCAGAAAUGUGCAUCGUGUUAUAAAACAUUGUUCAACUAAUGCAAUUAUUUUUCUCUUCAUUGAAUUCUAGGUCGAUUUAAGUAAUACAUUCGUACGCAUAUACUCCCUCCAUUUCAUAUGACCUUAAUUUGUUCAUAUAGUGCAAUAAAUUGUACCCCUCCAUCCCAAAAUAUGCUGCAUAUUAGAUUUAAGAGAAAUCAAACUUUGCAUAAUAUGGCCAUACCAAUAAUUUAUUCGCUCAAUAUACUUUCAUACAGUAUCAAUUCAGUGUUGUAGGUACAGAUAGUUUUACCCUGACUUUUAUGAAAACCGAUGAGGUACUAUGACAAUGCCAAAAAAACGUCUUAUAUUUUGAUACAGAGGGAAUAGACAAUUUUCCUAAGAUGACAUAUAAUUAAAUGAACAAAAGAAAGUUAAUGGGUAUAAUAUCAUGAUAAUGUAUCAUAAAAAAUGUUAUGCUAUUAUUUACGAUGAUAAUAAAUAAGAUCAUUAUAAUAUUAAUAUACCAUACUACUAAGCAUUACAAAAAAUAGUAUCAUAUACUGACUAGUAUCAAUGUAGGACACUAAGUUAUGAUACUAUCCACUAGUGUCAUAUGGAUGAUGCUAGUAGUAGCUUGAUUUCGACGUCGAUUUAUGUAUUGAAAAGGGGCUUUAAAAACCAUUUACACCGUGUUUGUUGCGAAUCAGCAUAUAUCCGUUUAUUUAUUGAUGAAAGGGGGCUUUAAAAACUACUACAACAUAUUUGUUGUUCUCAUUCCAGUUAAGUCAUUUCCUGAGGUUUUUUUAGGUGGGCCCACACCCAGAGGGAGUAGAGCCUUCAUAUACGCAGCAGGUCUCCCCUCCCCUCCCCUCCCUUGUUUAAAUCGGACACGCGACGGUAGCCAUACGCACGCACACGUUUCAUUAAUGGCGCUCUCCACGCUCCUCCUGCCCUCCUCCUCCUCCACCGCCGAUGCCUCCGACCGCCGCCGCGGCCAGCCACAGCAGCCAAACCACCACAGCAAGCGCAAGAAGAAGCCGCCGGCGCCACCCCCGCUCUCCCCCGCGCCCAGGACUCCCGCCCGCCGCGCCGGCGCCGGCUCGACGCCCAAGAAGAGCCCCGCCCCUCCGCGGCCCCCACCCACCGGCGCCAAGGCCAGGCUCGUGGCCGGAAAGGACCAGCACGGCCGGCAUCGCCGCGGCGGCAGCUCCAAGAAGGCGCCCGCGCGGCCGGCGUCGUCGUGGGAGCAGCUCAAGAGCCUGCUGAGCUGCCGGAGCGNNNNNNNNNNNNNNNNNNNNNNNNNNNNNNNNNNNNNNNNNNNNNNNNNNNNNNNNNNNNNNNNNNNNNNNNNNNNNNNNNNNNNNNNNNNNNNNNNNNNGAACCCUAACUAAGGUGGGCCUUAGGCCCACCAGAGGGGUGCGCCACCCUCCCCCUUGCCCUGGCCGCCACCCCUCUCCCAUCUAAGGGCUGCCGCACCCCUUAGGGGUGGGAACCCUAAGGGCUGCGCCCCCUCCCUCUCCCCCUAUAUAUAGAUUAGGUUCGGGGCUGUUUGAGACACGGUUGAAUCUCUCUCUCUCGGCGCAGCCCUGCUCCUCUCCCUCCUCCUCUCUGCCGGCGCUUGGCGAAGCCCUGCCGGGAGACCUCGUCUCUCCACCAACACCACGCCGUCGUGUUGCUGGUCUUCUUCCCCAACCUCUCCCUCCUCCUUGCUGGAUCAAGGUGCGGGAGACGUCACCAGGCUGCACGUGUGUUGAACGCGGAGGUGCCGUUGUUCGGCACUAGAUCGGAAUCGCUGCGAGUACGACUCCAUCAACCGCGUUCUAGCAACGCUUCCGCUUAGCGAUCUUCAAAGGUACGAAGAUGCUCUUACCCCUCUCUCGUUGCUGGUCUCUCCAUAGGAAGAUCUGAACAUCCGUAGGAAUUUUUUUGAAUUUAUGCUACGUUACCCAUCAAUUUGUGCUCACCAACAAACGCAAGGGCGGAGCUCGUCCAACGCACGUGGAGGUCGUCGAACAACUGCACAUUGAAAUUCACACAAUCAACACAAAUAUGAUGUUUUUAUAAUUAACAUAAUCGGAAAAUAUGUGACCUAACUCAUAAUUUACAAAAUUAUGACCCCGUCGGCUUAGUGGCGGCGAUGGUCGGUGGUGUCGGGUGUCGGUGGCGUCGAUGGUCGGUGGUGUCGGGUGUCGGUGGCGUCGGCGGUCGGGGGUUAGAGUUGUCGGGGGUCGAGGAUCACUCGCGUCGGGGGUGGGGUCUCUUUGGUCAACAAGAGGUCGAAGAGGUGUCGGGGGUCGGGGUUGGGUCAAUGGUGUCGGGGGUCGGGUAGGGGCCGGGGUCGNNNNNNNNNNNNNNNNNNNNNNNNNNNNNNNNNNNNNNNNNNNNNNNNNNNNNNNNNNNNNNNNNNNNNNNNNNNNNNNNNNNNNNNNNNNNNNNNNNNNUCUUCUUCUUCUUCUUUCUUCUUCUAGUUUAUUAUUCUCUUAUUUUCUUCUAAGUUUGACUAGAUAAAGCAUGUAGAGUAGGAGCAUACCCUUCAAAUGCAAAUCUAUCAUUUCUUUUUUGGGGCCCAUACCCUUCUUCAUCUAUCAUUUUUUUUCCUAUCUACGUUUUCUACUUAAUAAACUAACUAUCUAAUUUAACAUAAACACAGAAGAAGAAAAAACUAACUAUCCAAUUUAACAGAAAAAACACAAAAUAAACUAACUAUCUAAAUUAACUAUCUAAUUUAAAAGAAAAAACAAGAAAUAAAGCGAAAAAGAAAAAAAAAACCUUAACCUGCGUAGGGGCAGUGGGCGGCCGGGGCGGAGGGCAGUGGGAGGAGGGGAGGGCGCGCUCCGGCCCUGGGCGGCGGGGAGGAGGUGCGGGGGGGAGGAGGGGAGGGCGACCUCCGGCCGCACGGCGGUGGUGGGCCGGAGCGGCUCCGGUGGUGGCGGCGGCGGCACUCGGGUGGGCAGGGCACGGGAAUGAGGGGCGCGUGGAGAACGGGCGCGGGGAGGAGUUGCGCGGGGAGGAGGGGGAGGGCGAGCUCCGACGAGGGGAGGAGUUGCGCGGGGAGGAGGGGCGGCGGCGCUGGAGUGGGCAGUGCGCGGGGAGGGGGUUGGGCGNNNNNNNNNNNNNNNNNNNNNNNNNNNNNNNNNNNNNNNNNNNNNNNNNNNNNNNNNNNNNNNNNNNNNNNNNNNNNNNNNNNNNNNNNNNNNNNNNNNNUCAGCAGUCACAGCACCGGAGUGGCCCACCUUCGAGAGCAGCCCAACCCACCACCAUUCCCUCCUCCAGUCCCCUGCUCUGCUCCCGACCUCAAGACGGCGGCGAGACGCCCAACGGCGGGCAACGACGAGGUUCCGUUCCCCCCGGUCGGCAUGCUCAUGCUCGCCCUCUUCUCCGUCCGCUGGAACUGGAAACCACCGCCACUCACCAGGUCAGCCUCUCAUGUGCUCUGCCAGCGCCCUGCAGGUGUUUGCGUUUAUUUCCACCAGCACCAGCUUCCUUCCACCGCCACCUUCCUAGCUAGCUCCAGCACCAUGGUCACCAACCAACCACCCAGUUUGCCGACAUGCGUCCACGCACGCUUCUUUGCUUCCAGUGGAACCGCAGCUAUCUCCGUCCUAUUGUCUGUCUCUCUCGUCUCUCGGUUCGUCCCCAGAAAUUAACUAAUGACCACCAUACAUCAAGAGACGAGCUUGAGCUUGAGCUUCAAGCGAAUAAAGUUGGGCCUUGUGGGAACCAAUUCAAGUAUAAUAUGAUCAACUCGAGUCUAGGCGCUAGCCCCGGGUGCCCGUAUUUUUAACACUCAGCUUAGCAAGCUCGUUCACAUGGCAUCAUGUCUUUGCGUGCUAUAAUAUGAACAACUCGAGUCUAACUGCAUGUCUUUUAACACUCUCUUACCAAGCUCAUUCAGAUUGCAUGUGCUUGUGCCGGCCAUCGCCUUGCAGACCGCAACACCACCAACAGCGCUGCGCGAGACCCGGAACCUAGUCUUUAAUUUACUAUUGGAUUUGCAAUUAGUUCGGUUGAUCAGAUCCGGUGGACGGCGGUAGCAACGUGUAGAUGGACAUGCACAUCUUUGGCCCAAGCAUAUCGCUGGCUCGUCCGACCUGAGCUACUGAGCUCGACACUUGUUCAGGUGCGCCACGACCGAGGCUCCUUCAGUUCUCUACCAGUUUAUCAGUAGAGGCUUAGAUACUAAAGGUGCAUCUAAGCAGCCAAACCAAUUUUGAUCCUGGCCUGGCAUCAGCACCAAGCACAGCGGCAUAGGUUGGUUGAUUGGAGGCCCAGUGGUUGUUAAUUAGGACUCACAAUCUUAUUGUGAAAUAGCAAUAUCUUACAUGUUAGAGCAACUGUUAACUAGAGCCUAACGAAUCAAAAUACACACUGUAUUUUCUUUAAAAGAAAACCAGCGAGCCUCUCCCCAAUACAUACAGAGUAUUCUCUGGGAUGACAAGAGUAGUUUGUAGUAUUGAUUGGUACUGGUUUAUUUGUUGAUGAUGACAGCCCCUUGUCCUUGUUUUUUUGCUUUUCAACCUGUGUGACAAGAAGUGCUGCUAAUAGCCUGAUUAUUACUACUUCAGAACACAACUACUUUUGGCCUUUGUGCGGCUGCCUACUGUCGAUUCAAGUAUACUAUGAUCAACUUGAGUCUAGGCGCUAGUCCCCACUGCUGUCUUUUUAACACUCGCUUACCACGCUCCUUCACAUGGCAUGUCCUUGUGCGCUUGUGCCGGCCAGCGCCUUGUAACUGAUGACAGCUACCCCGGUGUGCACUGUUAAUAGUUAAUUACUUAGAUAACAGUGAGCAUCCGAUGUAGGAGUACUAGAUCAGAUCCGUUUGAGGGCUAAACACUCACUAAGCUCACCCUCUCUUUCGCACUGUCGCUCUCCACAGCUUGAUCUCUUCUCACCACGGGCGUUCGUCCUGCCCCUGCUCCCCACUCUCGACCCUGCUGCUCCACCUUGCAGUCAGCAGCGCAGCUCUCGUCGCCUCCUCACCUGCCUGCAGUGCAGUCACCUUGCACUCUCCUGUCACCACGGCGACGGUGACAGGACCAGCCAUACCACCGCUGCACAUCACCAGCAGGUACCAAAAUCAGACCCCCUCCCCCCUCCCUCUCUCUCUCUUUCUCUCUCAAAGUCUCAAUGACUCAACACAACCCCCUUUUUGUAGCUAGCUGGGACUAGGCAGACGGCAGCGGCUUCCAUCACCGGCAGACCGACACCUCGUGCGCGCGUCAACGUACAUACCUAUUCUCUCCUUUAGUUUGCAGCUACCAGCAGCCGAGAUUUAUCACCUUUUGUUGGUUCCUGGAUCAGUGCAGGUGCGCAGAACAUCCUCCAUCCCUGCAUCCGAUCAGGGGAUGGACGACGCGGCCCUUGGCGCGGCACAAUGGGUGGUGGGGAAGGCCCUAGCCCCCGUUGCGGAUGGCGUGCUGGAGGCUUGGGCGGCCAGCAGUCACUUUGGUCUCAACAUCGAGGCCCUCCGCACGGAACUGCUGCAGGUGCAGGCCAUGCUCGAACGAGCUGCCACCAAGGAGCUCGUCGGGCCGGCCACGGAGAAGCUGUUGCAGAAUCUGCAGGACUCGGCCCACAAUGCCGAGGACUUGCUGGAUGAGCUGGACUACUUCCGCAUCCACGACAAGCUCCACAACACGUACGAGGCUGCCAACGAGCAUGGCAAGGGUUGCGUCUGCGACAUCAUCCUUAAUGCUCGCCACACUGCCAAAGCUCUUGGCAAACAGAUGGCAUCAUUGUGCACGAAUUGCUUUGGUGCCAACCCUAGCCAUCCCCAACAAGAAGAUGCAAGACAAAAUGUCAGCUGUUGUGCUUGGCAGCGUGGUAGGCAGAGGUCAAAAAUGUCAGCUGGCCAUUUCCCCUCGGCGCCAAACGCCAAUCCUGUUGAUGAAGAUCGUGGCAGUGCACAAGGAACACCAAUGACUGAGUUCAAUAGGGUUGAUUUCUCUCGAAGGAUGAAGGAGACUGUAGAGCAACUGAAGCUUGGGAGUGAGGAGGUUAACAAGAUUCUGACACAUUGUGGACCUAGAACUGUCCUAGACAUUGCCCAGCGUCGCUCCCCCACCACACCUCAGAGUGCAGAGCCAAAAUUGUAUGGGAGGGAUCGUGUCAUAAAUAGCAUCGUACACGAUAUCACCGAGGGUCAAUGCUGUGACAUGGGUAUAACUGUGCUUCCGGUUAUUGGUCCAGGGGGCAUGGGGAAGACAACUCUGAUACAACACAUAUAUAACAACCAACAAGUACAGAAUCAUUUUCCAGUCAGGAUUUGGAUAUGUGUGUCGUUCAAUUUCAACCUGGGUAAGGUGCUAGAACAGAUUAAAAGGUAUACCACUUCAGUUGAAGGUGAAAACGAGUGUGUUAGGCCAGAAGAGCUGGUUGAACACAGAUUGAAACACCAAAGGUUCUUACUUGUAUUGGAUGAUAUAUGGCAGUUUACUGAUGUGGAUGACUGGAAAAAGCUAUUGUUGAUACUCAACAAGUCACAAGAGAAGGGUUCCGUGAUUCUAGUCACAACUCGGCAAAAAGAAAUAGCAGAUCGGGUUAAGGAAACUGAAGAGCCAAAAGAACUGGACGGUCUAGAACGUGGAGAAUUUAGGAAGUUAUUCCUUGUAUAUGUCUUUGAUGCUGAGCAAUAUCCAAGAGAUAAACUUCAUUUGCUUGACACCGGAGAUGAGAUCAUGGGAAAGCUAAAGGGUUCCCCUCUUGCAGCAAAGACCGUUGGUAGAUUACUGAGAACAGACCAUAGUUUGGCUCAUUGGAGAAGGGUCCUAAACAGUAAACAGUGGACGAAACAGACCAAUGGAAUUAUGCAUGCCUUGGAGCUUAGCUAUGACUUUCUCCCUUUCCAUCUGCAACGGUGUUUUUCCUAUUCUGCAUUAUUUCCUGAAGAUUACCUUUUCAGAGGCAGUGAACUCAUCAGCCUGUGGAUCGGACUAGAUAUUUUGAAACCUUGUGGUCAAAACCCAACCUUUGAAGGCAUAGGUCUGAGCAUUUUAAAUGAUUUAGUCAUUCAUGGAUUUUUCAUAGAAGAGGAAAAUAAUGGUGAUUUGCGGUAUGUCAUGCAUGACCUACUGCAUGAUUUGGCAUUGAAGGUUGCAUCUCAUGAUUGUCUCAGUUUACGUCUCCCUAAUGUUGGAUCAAUGGAAAUUCAGCCAUCCAUCCGUCACUUGUCUAUAAGCAUGGAGGACUUGGGUAAAUAUGAUGCAAUGUCUGCUGAAAAAUUGAAGAGUGAAUUGGAAGAACUGAAGACAAGAUUUAAGGUUGAAGAUUUGCAAACAUUGAUGUUAUUUGGAAAAAUGGAUGAAGGUUUUGUCAAGAUAUUUGGUGAUUUUUUUGAAGAAGUGAACGCUCUUCGUAUUCUUCAUUUGCCCCGCAUGCUUUGUCCCGUGGAGUCCAUGUUACAUAACUUUUCAAGACUUGUCCACCUACGAUACCUAUGUCUAGGGACAUGGAACAGACAGAUGCAUUUACCAGUUGGCAUUGUUAAAUUUUAUCAUCUAAGGAUUCUAAAUCUUGAAAAGUGGCACUGCAGUUGUGAUUGGCCCGAAGACAUGAGCAACCUUGCCAAAUUGUGCUUUUUUUAUGCCCCAAGUGAUGGUCAGCUUCAUUCUGAUAUUUAUAAUGUGGGAAAACUUAAACUCUUAGAAGAGUUAAAGGUAUUUCGAGUCAAUAAAAAAAGUGAAGGGUUUGAACCAAAGCAAUUAAAGAACUUGACCAAGCUGAGGGAGCUUGGCAUCUACAACCUUGAGAAAAUGCACACAGAAGAAGAAGCAGCUCAAGCAAAACUGAUAGAGAAAAAUUACCUGAGAAGGUUAACAUUGUGCUGGGAUAGUGAGCGAUCUAGUGUUGAGCCUAGCGUGGAAGCAGCGGUUCUUGAGAUCCUUCAGCCACAUGGAGAUCUUCAGGUGUUGUGCAUUAGAGGGCAUGGAGGUCCGUCUUGUCCGACAUGGCUGGGUGAUGAGUUUGCUGUUGAGGCUCUACAAUCUCUUUAUCUGGAUGGUAUUUCUUGGGAAAUUUUCCCUUCUUUAGGGAAGGCGUGGGACCUUCGUGAAUUAAGCUUUGAGCACAUUGCCAGACUGAAGGAGUUUAUCAUAGAGGAAUGCUUUUGCAGGCUAACACAACUUACACUCAUUGGCCUUGGAAGUUUGGAAAAAUGGGUUUACACAGGUGAACAAGAGUCUUCCAUGGGUGGAGAGUUGUUGCCACCAGAUUCUCAUAUGUUCCCUCAUUUGCAAGUGCUGAUUAUUAGAGAGUGCCCGAGACUGUUGGGGUUGCCUUUCCCAAACCACAUUGUUUCCCCGGAUUGGUUCCCCAAGCUACAAGAGCUUGAGGUAACCGGCUGUCCAGAAUUCUCGUCAGUGAUUCUCAUCUCCUGGAUUGAAAGUAUGCGUCGUGUCAGGAUGAAAAAUGUAAAGCUACUAGCGCAUUUUGAUUACUCAAAAUCAUGGAUUUGUGCAGGAUUGGAGAUUAUUGGAGAGGCUGAUUUGCAUAACAUAGACCAAGUGUUAGUUUUUGAUAAAGAAACUGGUCUAGAGACGCUGAUACUGGAGAAGUGCCCACCUCUGGAGUUGAAGCACCUUCUGAUGCUAACCUCGCUGAAUACACUGAUUGUACGAAGUUCAGUUGGUCUAGUUGGAUCACUUGGAGGAGGUCAGAGUGAUGUGGAAUGGCAGCUCCCUGUUGAGAAAAUCUUGAUCGACAACUUAAAUGGUAAUACUGGCGAGGAAUUGACAGAGCUCCUCCCCCACCUUCCAAAUCUCUCCAAAUUGACUAUACGGAGUUGUAAAAACAUAAAAAAGCUGGUAGUGGGGGUGGGCGUGCAACAAACAACAUCAACAUCAUCAGAGAUGGAAGGAGGUGAAAUAACAGCAGCAGCAGAGGAAGAGGAUGAUGGUGAUGGGGUGCUGCUCUUCCCACUUCAUCUCUGUGACACACUACGGGAAUUUUUGCUCUAUGACUGCACGGAGCUGAUCCUUNNNNNNNNNNNNNNNNNNNNNNNNNNNNNNNNNNNNNNNNNNNNNNNNNNNNNNNNNNNNNNNNNNNNNNNNNNNNNNNNNNNNNNNNNNNNNNNNNNNNCUCGCUGAAGAUACUGAUUGUAAAAAGUUCAGUUGGUCUAGUUCGACCACUAGGAGGGGGUCAGAGUGAUGUGGAAUGGCAGCUCCCUGUUGAGAAAAUCUUGAUCGACAACUUAAAUGGUAAUACUUAUUGGCCUUGGAAGUUUUGAAAAAUGGGUUUACACAGGUGGUGAACAAGAGUCUUCCAUGGGUGGAGAGUUGUUGCCACCAGAUUCUCAUAUGUUCCCCUUUUUGCAAGUUCUGAUUAUUAGAGAGUGCCCGAGACUGUUGGGGUUGCCUUUCCCAAACCACAUUGUUUCCCUAGAUUGGUUCCCCAAGCUACAAGAGCUUGAGGUAACCAACUGUCGAGUAUUCUCGUCAGUGAUUCUCAUCUCCUGGAUUGAAAGUAUGUGUCGUGUCAUGAUGCAAAAUGUAAAGCUACUAGCGCAUUUUUGGUACUCAAAAUCAUCCAGUGGAGCAGAAUUGGCGAUUAUUGGAAAGGCUGAUUUGCAUAGCAUAGACCAAGUGUUAGUUUUUGAUAAAGAAACAGGUCUAGAGACACUGAGACUGGACAAGUGCCCACCUCUGGAGUCGAAGCACCUUCUGAUGCUAACCUCGCUGAAGAAACUGAUUGUAGUUGAUUCAGAUUGUCUGGUUGGGCCACUAGGAGGAGGUCAGGGUGAUGUGGAAUGGCAGCUCCCUGUUGAGGAUAUCUGGAUCGAAGGCUUGAAUGGUAAUACUGGCGACGAACUGACAGAGCUCCUCCCCCACCUCCCAAGGCUCUCUGAAUUGGAAAUAUGGAAAUGCCAAAACAUAAAAAAGCUGGUAGUGGGGGUGGAUGUGCAACAAAAAACAUUAGAAGCAUCAGAGAUGGUGGGAGGUGAAAUAACAACAGCAGCAGAGGAAGAGGAUGAUGGGGUGCUGCUCUUCCCACCUCAUCUCAGUGACUCACUACUGGAAUUGGAGUUCUAUUGGUGCGAAGAGCUGGUCCUGGUGAAUCUGCCAACUCUUGUUCCUGGUGGAGGAGGGCUCCAAGCCUUGCGAUCCCUCCAGAGAUUAAGAAUACAGAACUGCCCGAAGCUCCUAUCCACCUUCUCCUUCUCCCUGGAGCCCCUCUCAAACCUCUCCUCUCUCACCAGCUUAGAAUUGGAUAAUUGUGGAGAGGAUCUGAAAUGUCAGGGCUUGUGGUCUCUCCUUACCACCGGGGGCCAGCUCAAAGAAUUAACAGUCAGGGGUAGCCAUAGAUUCUUUGCUGGUUGGGAUCCCAAUCCCAGACAGGCUUUGGAGGUUGCUGAGGGAGGUGAAGAGCAGCAGACACAGCUUGUUUUAUCCACACUGCGUGAGCUCGGGACAGAUGACAUAGCAGGACUUCUUGCUGCACCCGUCUGCAGAUUCCUCUCUUCCUCCCUCACCAAGCUGGCACUUAAUGGGUAUUGGCUUGAAGGGAUGGAGCGGUUCAGCAAGGAGCAAGAGGACGCCCUUCAGCUCCUCUCCUCCAUCCAGGAGCUAAAGUUUUUGUAUUUCAAGGACCUUCAACAACUCCCUGCAGGGCUGCGUAACCUUACCAGCCUCAAGAGAUUAGGAAUCUACAACUGCAGCGAGGUGCUAAAACAGCAGUGCAGGGGGUUGGAGGGAACCAUCCCAGGAGUCGAAAUAAUCUGAUCCAAGGUAACACAAACAUCAUUUCUUGUGUUUUUCCACUUUGCUAUUUCCUGCAAUAUAAUCCUGCUUAAUAACUCUGUGUUUGUUCACAUCCACCAUGUAGAGUUCUUCCCUUGUACAUUCUUCUAGCCUUGUAGAGCUCCCAUUCAAACAGAUGCAUGACACAAGGGCCUUGUGUCUGUGGUCUUCCUUCCUCUACUUAAAUCUGGUAAGUACAUCUAAACUGGAACUUAAUUUACUCCUGCUGUACUAUAUCUGAUAAGACAUAACGUGUGCUGAUUGGCCCUGAUCCUUCGCUACACACUAAUAACAGCAAUAUUUGGGGAUUUUUGGCAAUGUUUUAAAUAGCGGGCUACGGCAAAUAGCGGCGAGCCUCUAAAUCAGCUAUAGCGGCAUAUUUGUACAUGAUACCAUUUAGCGGCACCUUGCUGAAAAGGCUAUAGCGGGGCUAUAGCGGGCUAUUUAAAACUAUGAUUUUUGGUGGAGAAUUUGAUCUAUCUAGCAACCAGAAAUUAGAUAGAAUAGAUAAUUUAGUUGAACCAAAGUAGAUGUGAGAGGAGAAGCAGAAAAUAAGAUGGGGAUUAAUCACAUGGGGGUGCACCGAAAAUGCCUUUCUGAUUGAGAUUUCUCAUCAUGUUUCUUUGAUGCAAAGAAGGAACAACAUAUUUCUGAACUGAAGUAUAACUGGGCUCCCUCUUGGUUCUAAUUUCAGGCGGAGCCAUUACACGCAAAUUAGCUGCAGGAACCAUCAUUAGGGGUGUCCACACCAAUAUCAGUUAUAUACACUUCAACUACUUUUUCUCCUGCCAUAUUAGAUGUGAGAGAGGAGAAGCAGAAAACAAGAUGGGGAUUAAGCACAUGGGGGUGGACCUGCAAUGCAUUAUUACGAAAUUUAAUGGUGUAUAGGAUCUUCAGAAGAAUAGCCGGCAUAGCAUAUCAGUGCACGUGUGGAGCCAGUUGAGAUCAUAGGCAGUAGUAGCAGUCUCAAGGUAAUAAUGCAUUGCAGGUCAUGUACAAUUUAAGUUAUUAUUGAAAACUUGCACUGCAAAGGUAAGAAGAGAUUAUUCAUGUCUGCUCUGAGUACCAGAAGAGGGACAUAAUUAGCUAUUAACUGAAUGUUUGGUCGAAUUUCGCAGGUGUGACGACUCACUGGAGAAGGACCGCUAUACACCUGCUUGAUGACUCCAGCAUUUUAUGGGUGUGCUUAAAACGCUGCAGAGGUUCACUCAUGCGAGGUAAAUAGGCCCCGGUAAACUGCAGCUCUGCAAGAUAGCUACAUGUUCUUAUCAGAUAAAUUGACUGGGAAACAUUUCAGAGUUGGCUCCCCAAGGACGAUGAUGAAUUGACUUGCUAAGGAAGAAGCAGCAGAAACACAGCCCAGGCUAGACGAAGCGUAACCUGCAGAUGGGUAUAUCUGAAGCCUGUCAGCCUUGUUAUGCCGCUUAGAAUAAAAUUGCUGCAAUGAGUAGGUACAUAUCGUGUCUGCGAUGGUUAGUAUUUCGGUAAUUCGGUAUUGGUGUAGCCUGUGUAGCACAAAAUAUUCUGACCCUGACGGGCAGAACCACGCCAAUUACUUACACAUUCCCCUCUUUGUCAGGAACAAGCAGACCACAUCUUCUGAAGAAAUCGACGCUUUUCAUGUUGUUAACUGAAGAAAUCGACAUCCAGCGGUUGGCGCCAAACCAGGAAAUUGUCGACCGCCCGAUCUUCAUCUAACAGCAACUUACCGCCUCGCCCCGAACACAUUGCCACCCUUGAUAGUUGCAAUUUGAAUUACCGUCUGCUGCUUCAUUGUUCACCUGCCUUACUUUAGUAGCGUUAUGAAGUUACCCUUUUCAGUGGUUGUAAUGGGUAUAAAGCCCCGGAUCUGAGAGCGCUCGGGCUCAUCUUCCUGAACUUGGAGUAAACCCUAAGUCGUUCGCUAUAUUUCUCUUGCAAUCAUCC
rnacentral:lncRNA from 1 species